UGCAAUCUCGUAUUGUUAAUCUUUUGAGGCUGGUGAGAUGUUGCAGGCACUCAUCUAGCGUGUAAGUGUCCAACCCCUCAAUGUUGUGUACAUCGAAAGAUUUCAUUUUGGAGAGUGGAAGAGAAGAGGUUGAAGUUGAUGGGGCCUUAGCAUUGAUGUUCAUCUUGAUAGUCUGCUUUAACGGCCUUGAACUGGUAUUCGACAACAUUAGAUCUUCACCGAGUGAUGGAUACAGUGGCAUUAAAGUCAAAGGGCAAUUUUGAAUUGUUAAAGAGGAAAGACAAGGAAAUGCCAUGGUUGAUGUUCCCAUAACUGUUGUGUCGUCCUCGUUGGAAUCAUCAUCGAUUGGUUUUGUCGUCCUCCACCAACUCUUCAUAUUUGGGCAAUCCUCGAGGUUAAGAAGCUUAAGCGAUGGGAAGAAUGAUUGUGGUUCUCCUUGACUUCCUUUUGGGCUAUUAUCAUCCAUGUACUCCAGCUUAGUACAAAACAUAAUAUCCAGCAGUUCAAGACAGGGCAAUUGAGCAAAGGACGGGAAAUAUUUGAAAUUACCACCACUUAUGAAAAUUUUGACGAGAUUUGUGAGCAAAGGAAGCCAACUUGGAAACUUGGCAUCACCCCUCCAUCCUCGAAUACAGAGCUCCUUUAGAUUAGGAUGGGGUUGGAGGUCUUCAAGUGAUUUAUCAUCAUCAUAUUCAUCAUCGUUAAAAUCAAAAUAAAAGCUCCAUUGUAAAACCAACGAUCUCAAAUGUUGCUUCUCAUUCAAAUUAGCAGCCUUAAACUUCUCUUUUGCAUUUUUUACGAAUCCCAAAUUUGCUAUUUCUAGAUGUCCCCUUAAGUUGUUAAGCAGUCUCAAUUCACUUAGAUCUGCACCGCCAUGGGACCCAUCUUUAUCCACUACAAACAUGCUUAACGUCUCAAGUGAAGUCAGCUUCCCUAUUCCACGUGGCAUAUGAGUUAAACUAAAACAAGCGUCACACCCAAUAUGGGUAAGCUUCACCAAUUUUUCAACCUUCUUUGGCAAUUCUUGAAGCCCACAACACCAGUCAAGUUUCAGCGCUAGCAAAUUCUGAAUCUUGCAAAUACUCUUUGGGAGAAUCUUGAUAUUGUAAUUGGAAGAAAGAUCAAGGUGCCUCAAAUGUUUCAACUUGUAAAUGGAGGGUGAAAUCAUCUGAAUACCUAACGAAUGCAAAUCCAAUACACGCAAGCAUCUACAAUUUGCAAUUAUCAAAUCCCAAGUUUCAUAGCUGAAAUCAUCACUCAAUUUUUGAUCUAUGUUGUCUUGAAAAUGUAACAAGGUUCGCAACUUCUUUCCCUUAAACGAAGGAAUUAAUGAAGGUUUAAUUGAUAUGUGGCGACAUUUUUCACCAACAUCACUUGCAAUUCUAUUUGAAUCUACAAUACCACUCUCCAUCCCUGCUACUGAUUCAGCUAGAUCAUGCAUUAAAUCAUGCAUUUUACAUGUUAGCCCUUCCCAUGAAUAUCUUUCUCCUACUUCUUGGAAGAAACUUCUUUCAACUAAAUCUUUAAAAUACCCAAACCCAAUCUCCUCCAGAGAUUGACUUUGAUUCAAUUGCUUUAUGAAACCCUCUGCAAUCCAAAAUUGAACAAGCGCUUGUACUUCAAUUCUGUAAUCUUUUGGAUACAAUCGGCAAUAAGCAAAGCAAUGCUUCAAAUGAGACGGGAGAUGAUCAUAACUCAAUUUCAGCAUAGGUAGAAGUUCUCCUUCAAUUUGUGAUAUUUUAGGAAGUUCAUUUUCAUUGAAAGAAUGCCACUCAUUUGCAGUUUUCUUCAAAGAUAAUGUACCAGCUAUCGUCCUUAUGGCUAAGGGAACCCCACCACACCUUUCCGAAAUCUGUCUCCCUACUUCCACAAAGGCUGAAUUUGUUGAGUCUGCAUAUCCUUGCUCAAAUGCUAUCUUUUUGAACAAAGACCAAGCAUCAUCAUCAGACAAGCCUUUCAAUUUCAAAACAUGGGAUUGACAUUUAUUAGUUAUCUCCGCUACCCUUAGAGAUCUAGUCGUUACUAUUAUCCUACUCCCUUUAGCCCCACCCAUCAAUAACUUCUUUAGCCUAGACCACCUUUCUGGGUCCUCAUUCCAAAUGUCAUCCAAAACAAGCAAAUAUUUUUUCCCAUCAAUUUUAUCUCGAAGUUGUUUUUGCAGUUGAUCCAUUUCAAGAUUUUGAUCAGGUGCUUGAUGAGUCACAGAUUUGAUAAUGUUUGCUACAAUAACUUUCACAUCAAAAUCAUCUGAAACACACGCAAACAUCGUUAAGUCAAAAUGAUUUUUGACCAUUUCAUGGUUAUAGACAAGUUGGGCCAAAGCAGUCUUCCCUAACCCUCCAAACCCCAAAAUUGGAAUGAUAAAAACAUUCUCUUCACUUUGAAACUCCAACACGAGUUUUAGAAGAGCUGCUUUAUCCUCGUCCCUCCCUAUUAUGUCAUCUUCACGCUCAAAAGAGUGCGUUUGCUGCCUCCUUUUAGUCAUGAAAGAGGUUUCCGCGGGGCGAUCACGCGGAAUGAAGCGAAAAGUGUUGGCCUCACUUUCAAUUGAAGCUAAUCUCGCCUUAAUGGCCUUCAUUUUCCGACCCAUUUUGAGACCAUAAGCAAAUUGGUUUGAGGUUGAGAAGAAAAGGCGUACCUCUUUCGUCAGCUUGUUCCCACCCGAUACAUCUUUCCGCAAAGCUUCAGUAGAGAAAUCAUCGAGCAAGUCGUCGGCAUCAUAAAGUACAUCUUUCAGAUCUAAUCAAGCCAACUUUGACGAGAUUGUCGGUCACCGAUUUCUCUUCUGCGUCAAGAAGCACAGCUUUGAUUUGACAGACAGUGCGUCUGAGGUCGUGGAUGUCAUGUUUUAGAUUCCACCACGGCCCAAGUUGAGAGAGAGCACGAGAGCUCAACUUAAUAAUGAGCUCUGCGGCAAUGUCGAAAGCAAUUGCUUCGGCCAUUGUUGGCUCAAACUGAAAUCAAGGCGAGAAGUGUUUGAUUAGUGAAAGAGGAGGACUAAAAUGAGAAUGAUUCCAACAAGAUGAAACACAGAUGUGGAUCCAUCCACCCAGCAAGUAGUAUAAUGAAAAAAAAAGUAAUGUUCAUUGGUGGGAAAUGGUCCCUCCAUGUGACACAAAUUUCUGAAGGGAGACAAAGUUGGGAUGAUGACACUUGGGGUGCUCUGCACAAUGUGGAGCCGUACAAAUAAUUGAAAUUAAUGAAAAAGCUAUGAAAGAAAAGAGAAAAAAGGAGACAAAUCCCAUGGAAUCCAGGGUGUUUUGAUUGAGGCACAUGCAUUCAAGUCUUUCUAAACCUUCUUCCCACUUACUUUGUGUAAUUGAGUGGGUCUGAAUACUCGGUUCUAACUUAAAUUUAAUAUUUUAUUUUUGAGGGUGAUUGCAGACUGUGAGAUACAACAUGAAGAUUGGGUUUAUGUCAGCUCCAUGGGAAUGUAUUUUAUUAUACCAUCAUGAAGAUUGCUUCCAGUGCUCAUAUCUAUUUAAUUAUUUUAAUACACAUAAAAUUGUUUAUUGUGAGUUGGAUGAUUUUGGUUUGUUUAUUUAAGAUAUUUUAUUUUUAAAUAUAUUCUUAAUUAUUUAUUUUACAUAUUUUAACUUAAUAUAUUUAAUAGUGAUUUUUUUUAAUAAAAAAAAGGACCCAAAGGUUACUACCUCAUUUUAAGUUGCAUCAUAAAUUACAAUGUUAUGGAUAUCGCUAUGAUAAUCAAUCUCAAAAGACAAAUUACAACACUUAGAAAGAGCCCAAUUACAAAGAGAAUCGGCUAAUUUGUUACAACCACGUUUCACCCAUUUGACCUUGGCGGAAACAAAAGAAUCAAGCAUAUUGUGAACUCCUUGAUGCAGUGAUCAAGGAUCGUUAUGUCCUUCUUGUCAAAACUGAAGCAGUUGACAAUACUAGCACAAUCUGUUUCAAAAAUGACGUUAUCGGCUUUAAGAAAUUGAGCAAGCUGAAAACCAUUUAUGAGGGCAUCUACUUCCGCUUUAAUAUUGAUUUUUUAUUCUCAUUUUAUCAGUAUAUUUACAUUUGAAUUCAAAUACAUAUUCUAUAAUUAACUUUAAUCUCACUGUUACAAUACUUAACCUCACUAAAUUACUUGUUUAACAUGAUUAUGGUGAAUUUAUAGAAAGAACAAUCACGAAGCAAAUGCAGAUGCACUUAUCUUUAAAGUGUUAUUAAUGGAAAUUUUAUUAUUUUGAAAAAUAAAAGUAUAAUAACUUUUUUGGCAUUCCAACUUUAUAAAAGAAUUAUUUUAUUAUUUUGAACUUACAUUUUUUUGUCAAACCAUCCAAAAUGGGUGAAAAAGUUAAUGUUUGUUAACUUUGUUGACAUGACAUAUAGGUGGAUUACCACGUGUAUGUCACGUUAGCAAUUAAUUAUUUUUAAAAAAUAUUAAAAAAUAUUUUCUUAUAAAUUUUUUAAUUUUUAAAAUAUUUUUUUGAAUUUUUUAAAAUUUAAAAAAUGAGUAAUUGCUUAUGUGACAUACACAUGGCAAUCAGCGUGUAUGUCACAUUAGCAAAAUUAAUAGACAUUAAUUUUUCACUCAUUUUGGGGUGAUUUGACAAAAAUUACAAGUCUAUGGACUAAAAGAAACGAAAAAUUAAAUGGAGAGAUGAAAUUACUUUUUCUCUAAAGUUGGAGACCAAAAUAAUCAUUAUGGCAAAAAAUAGUUGUUUUUCUUCUCUCUCUUUCUUUUUGGUAUUUUUUAGUGCUAAAAUUUAAGAUGGUGUGGAAUGUUUAUAAUCUUAUUAUUGUUAUAUAUGUUUUCGAUCUCAUUAGAGCUAAUCUCACUAUCUAUAUAAAGAGAGCCUAAAUAUAAUUUGUUUAGCUUCUUUUAAACAUGUUAGUGUUCCCUUGUAUGAUCAUUUACCUCCCGUGAGUAGGGUUGAGUAAAUUAAAUAAAAUAAAAUAAUUGAAAAUCGAUCCAAAUCAAGGUCUUUAGAUGGUUUUUGGAAUACUAAUUAACAAAUCACAAUUAUCCGAAACCAAACCAAAUUAUAUUCUUUAUUUAAUUUAUAAAUAAAUUUAUUUUUUAUAAUUUAAAAAUAAAUCUUUUAUAUUUAAAAAUAGUGAAAAUAAAUAAAUAAAUAUUUUUAUUUACUUAAAAAAAAUUUAAAAAAUAUCUAUGAAAUAAAUUUUGAAAAUUUGUCAAAUGAUAUUUAAAAGCCGUAAAAUAAAGUUUAUUUUAUUAAAAUAAUUAUAAAAAUUUAUAAUAAAAAUCAAACUAAACUAAAUUAUAAUGGAAAGACAAAAAAAUACAAUCGAAUUAAGCUAAGAUUUUCUUAAAAAAAUUAACUUGCAAUGAGAUUGUUUUCCUCACUAUAACCUUGUAGAGGUGUUAUAUAAGUACAUAUCAUAUGAUAAUUAUAAAUUUAAUAAUUUAAUUUUUUAAAAUUAAAUAUAUUACAAAUUAAUAUUUAUAUAAUGAUAUAUUAAAUACAUGUAAAUUUAUUAUCAUAAAUAUAUUUUUAAUUAUUAUUUAAUAUAAAUAAUUUUAUUAUAUUUUAUUAUUUUCAUUUAUAUAAAAUAUAGAAUUUUGAGUUUAUAAUAAUUUCAAAAAAUAUAUAAUUUUCAUAUUCAAAUUUUAUAUAAAUUAAAUCUAAAUAAGUAGAUAUGUAAUAAUAAAUAAAAAUUAAUAAAAAAUAUAUUUAUUAAUAAAUUUAUUAUUUACCAUGAUUGCAAAUUUAGUAUAUGUUAUAUUAUUUAAUGUUAAAUAUAAUCUUUCAUUUUACAAAUAUAAUUUAACAUCCUUAAUAAUCAAUUUAAGGUGAAAACACCUCUCUAGUCCCUUUCAAUUUUGAUAUCAUACAAAUUGGUCCUUCUAAAAAAUUUAGAGCAAUUUUAUCGUUAUUAAUUUUGAAAUUGAGCAACUAAGGAUAAUUAAUCACAACAUUAAUAUUUUUUGUCAUCUGUACACAUUUUUAUUGGUAUAAUAACAGCUUCAGCCCUAAAAGUUUACACAUUCUGUCAAUUUAGUUCUAGUUUAACAAAAUCAAUUUGCAACAUUUACACAUUAUGUAUGAACUGAAUUUGUUAUUAUACUAAUCAAAAUUAUAUACGAGUGACAAAAAAUAUUAACAUUAUUUUUAAUUGUCCUUAGUUCACCUUUGAAAUUGAUAAGGAUUAACUUGUUCCAUUUUUUAGAAAGGGCCCAUUUGCAAAAUAUUGAAUUUAAGAGGGAUCGAAGAGGUGUUUUUAUCCAUUUUUAGCCUCACCUCACUACUACAAUUGUUAUUGAAUCCAAAUAUAUAUCCAACACUGAUUAUUAUCACAUCACUACGGUAUUCAAUCUCACUAUUAUAACAACUAAUAUUACCACCAACGUUAUUUUUCAUUUCACUAGACUUGAUCCAAGUAUACAUCCAAAGAAAACCAUAAACUUAUCUAAAUACAAAUAAAACUAUAAAAAAACUUAUUUAGACAUAAAUUGAAAAUAUAAUUACUUGCUUGAGUUACACAUUUGUCCAAUUAUUCAAUUUGGUCAGAUUGAAGGUUAUUCUUUGAUAAGAUAUUAUUAUUAUUAUUAUUAUUAUUUGCUCUGGGCAAACUUAAUACAACUUGAUUUACUCUUUAUUAAUUAAAAUCAUUUUAUUUAUAUUUAAUUAUAAAAAUGUGUAAAUAUUAUUAAAACAUUAAUUUUUAAUAUUCAAUGAAUAGUGAAAUAGGGUCAACUUAUAAAGCUUAAAGUAUUUAGGAAGUCCCUAUAUUAUAGACUGUAUCAAAAUAGUCUAUUGAUUAUUAAACAGAUCAAAUUUAUUCUUGUAUUAUUAAAAAAGAAUCAAAUUAUAUCAAAUUGUAACAGAAUUAACAUUUAUUGUAACAGAAUUAAUAUUAACAGAGUUAACAAUUUUCAAUACAUUUUUAUGCAAUAAAUGUUAAUUUUGUUGUAAUUUGGUUUUAUUUGAUCAUUUUUAAUAAUACAGAGACUAAUUGACCAUUUAAUAAUAGAGGGACUAAUUUGAUGUAGUCCCUAUAAUACAGGUACUUUCACCCUUAUAUAUGUAUUUGAAUCUUAUUUUGGAUGAAAUUGAACAAUUGAAAAAGAUAAGAGUUCAAAAAGGUAAAAAUAAAUUGUAAUUACAUACAAAAUAAAUCUCCUAUUGUUUAUCUUUUGAGGCUGGUGAGAUGUUGCAGGCACUCAUCUAGCGUGUGAGUGUCCAACCCCUCUAUGUUGUGUACAUGGAAAGAUUUCAAUUUGGAGAGUGGAAGAGAAGAGGUUGAAGUUGAUGGGGCCUUAGCAUUGAUGUUCAUCUUGAUAGUCUGCUUUAACGGCCUUGAACUGGUAUUCCUCAACUCUAGCUUAUCAUCGAGUGAUGGAUACAGUGGCAUCAAAGUCAAAGGGCAAUUUACAAUCCAUAAAGAGGAAAGACAAGGAAAUGCCAUGGUUGAUGAUGUUCCCAUAACGGUUGUGUCGUCCUCGUUGGAAUCAUCAUCGAUUGGUUUUGUCGUCCUCCACCAACUCUUCAUAUUUGGGCAAUCCCGUAAGCAAAGAUACUUAAGCGAUGGGAAGAAUGAUUGUGGUUCUCCUUGACUUCCUUUUGGGCUAUUAUCAUCCAUGUACUCCAGCUUAGUACAAAAGCCAAUCUCCAGCAGUUCAAGACAGGGCAAUUGAGCAAAGGACGGGGGAUAUUUGAAAUUACCACCACUUAUGAAAAUUUUGACGAGAUUUGUGAGCAAAGAAAUCCAACUUGGAAACUCAGCAUCACCCCUCCAUCCUCCAAUAAAGAGCUCCUUGAGAUUAGAAUGGGGCUGGAGGUCUUCAAGUGACUUCUCAUUAUCAUGGUUACCACGGACCCAUAUUAAAACCAACGAUCUCAAAUGUUGCCUCUCUUUCAAAUUAGCAGCCUUAAACUUCUCUUUUGCAUUUUUUACGAAUCCACUUAAGUUGUCAAGCAGCCUCAAUUCACUUACAUCUGCACCGCCAUGGGACCCAUCUUUAUCCACUACAAACAUGCUUAACGUCUCAAGUGAAGUCAGCUUCCCUAUUCCACGUGGCAUAUGAGUUAAGCGAUUACAAUAACGACAAGAAAGAUGGGUAAGAUUCACCAAUUUUUCAAUCUUCUUUGGCAAUUCUUUAAGCCCAGUACACCAGUCAAGUUUCAGCGCUAGCAAAUUCUGAAUCUUGCAAAAACUCUUUGGGAGAAUCUUAAUAUUGUAAUUGGAAGAAAGAUCAAGGUAUCUCAAAUGUUUCAACUUACAAAUGGAGGGUGAAAUCUUUUGAAUACCUAUAGAAUUCAAUUUCAAUACACGCAAGCAUCUGCAAUUUGAAAUUAUAAAAUCCCAAGUUUCAUCACUCAAAUUUUGAUCUAUCUUGUUUGGAAAGUGUAACAAGGUUCGCAACUUCUUUCCCUUAAACAAAGGAAUUAAUGAAGGAGCAAUUGAUAUGUGGCGACAUUUUUCACCAACCUUGCUUGCAAUUUCAUUUGAGUCUACAAUACUACUCUCCGUCCCUGCUACUGAUUCAGCUAGAUCAUGCAUUAAAUCAUGCAUUUUACAUCUCAUAUUCCCAAUUCCAUAUUCUUCUACCUCUUGGAAGAAACUUCUUUCAACUAAAUCUUUAAAAUACCCAAACCCAAUCUCCUCGAGAGAUUGACUUUGAUUCAAUUGCUUUAUGAAACCCUGUGCAAUCCAAAAUUGAACAAGCGCUUGUACUUUAAUUUUGUAAUCUUUUGGAUACAAUCGGCAAUAAGCAAAGCAAUGCUUCAAAUGAGACGGAAGAUGAUCAUAACUCAAUUUCAGUAUAGGUAGAAGUUCUCCUUCAAUUUGUGAUAUUUUAGCAAGUUCAUUUUCUUUGAAAGAAUGCCACUCAUUUGCAGUUUUCUUCAAAGAUAAUAUACCAGCUAUCGUCCUUAUGGCUAAGGGAACCCCACCACACCUUUCCGAAAUCUGUCUCCCUACUUCCACAAAGGCUGAAUUUGUUGAGUCUGCAUAUCCUUGCUCAAAUGCUAUCUUUUUGAACAAAGACCAAGCAUCAUCAUCAGACAAGCCUUUCAAUUUCAAAACAUGGGAUUGACAUUUAUUAGUUAUCUCCGCUACCCUUAGAGAUCGAGUAGUUACUAUUAUCCUACUCCCUUUAGCCCCACCCAUCAAUAACUUCUUUAGCCUAGACCACCUUUCUGGGUCAUCAUUCCAAAUGUCAUCCAAAACAAGCAAAUAUUUUUUCCCAUCAAUUUUAUCUCGAAGUUGUUUUUGCAAUUGAUCCAUUUCAAGAUUUUGAUCAGGUGCUUGAUGAGUCACAGAUUUGAUAAUGUUUGCUACAAUAACUUUCACAUCAAAAUCAUCUGAAACACACGCAAACAUCGUUAAGUCAAAAUGAUUUUUGACCAUUUCAUGGUUAUAAACAAGUUGGGCCAAAGCAGUCUUCCAUAACCCUCCAAACCCCACAAUUGGAAUGAUAUAAACAUUCUCUUCACUUUGAAACUCCAACACGAGUUUUAGAAGAGCUGCUUUAUCAUCAUCCCUCCCUAUUAUGUCAUCUUCACGCUCAAAAGAGUGCGUUUGCUGCCUCACUUUCAAUUGAAGCUAAUCUCGCCUUAAUGGCCUUCAUUUUCCAACCCAUUUUGAGACCACAAACAAAUUGGUUUGAGGUUGAGAAGAAAAGGCGUACCUCUUUCGUCAACUUGUUCCCACCCGAUACAUCUUUCCGCAAAGCUUCAGUAGAGAAAUCAUCGAGCAAGUCGUCGGUAUCAUAAAGUACAUGUUUCAGCUCUUCAAGCCAAACUUUGACGAGAUUGUCGGUCACCGAUUUCUCUUCUGCGUCAAGAAGCACAGCUUUGAUUUGACAGACAGUGUGUUUGAGGUCGUGGAUGUCAUGUUUUAGAUUCCACCACAGCGCAACUUGAGAGAGAGCACGAGAGCUCAACUUAAUAAUGAGCUCUGUGGCAAUGUCGGAAGCAAUUGCUUCGGCCAUUGUUGGUUCAAACUUCAAACUGAAAUCAAGGCAAAAAGUGUUUGAUUCGUGAAAGAGGAGGACUAAAAUGAGAAUGAUUGGAACAAGAUAAAACACAGAUUCGAAGGCUUUGUUUUGAAAGUAAGAUUACACUGCACCUGUUCAUAGACUCGAAGGCUCCUUCGAAAUUCGGAAAGGUUUGGGCAAAAAAUAUUAAGCCCAAAAAUAGACUUGGGUAAAAAAAAAUAUGCUUCCUUAAAAUAUGGGUCGGGCUUGAGCUUGAACAUUUAAGGCAAAAGCUUGACCCAAUCCGAUCCGUUUUAAGUUUAUGUUAUUUUUAUAAAUUAUGUAAUUCAUAACACAUUAAAAAAAUAAAUAUAUAAUACUACUCUAAUGUAAACUUUUAAAAAAAUAUUAAGAUGACUAUAUAAAAAAUUUCAAUAAAUAAAAAAGUAUAAAAUUAUUAAAUAUUAAAAUAAUAUAAUAUAAAUAUUUUUAAAAAUUUUUAAAAAAACAAUAUGGGUGGGCCUAAAAUAGGCUUAGGUUAGUAUUUUACAAAUAUGUACGAGUUUGGACAAAAUUUUAAGUUUAGAUUUCGAGUUGGAUCGGGCCUGGACAAGCAUAAAGUAUAUUAAUAUCAUACUUAGACUUAACCCGAACCCAAUCAACCUAGCCCAUAAACACCUCUAAAAUACACUUUAAAAGAUAAUAUUUGGAUAAGGAUAAAAAUGUUUAAUGAUCUCAAAUUUCUCUACUUCUUCUCUAAAUCAUUCAUAAAAAGGAUGACAAUCAUUUCAUAAUUUUGGUACAAAAUUCCUCUUCAUUUAAAAUUAAACCAACAACAACCAAGUAAAAAAUUGCCAAUAUAAAAUCUUUCACUGCUCCAAACCUAUUAUUCAAACUCUUUUUUCCAACAUGACAUAAAAAUGUGUAACAUGUUAGAAUAAUUAGGUGUUAUUGUAUUAAUCUAAAACGAAAUCUGAUUAAGAGGUCUAAUUUGAAAAUAGUAUGUUUUAAUUAACGUUAGUUUUAAAUUCACAAAAUUAAGAUAGCCAUUUGUGUAAAACGAGUUUAGUAUUGAUAAUUGAUAUUUUAAAAAGAUCAAGCCACCUAUACGGUUAAUGUGAUCUCUUCAGCUCGGUUCUACUGUCUAGGCCGGGUUGAGAAGGUUACAGAAUAAGGUAAAAUUUCCAAUAAUAAAAUGAUGUUAUAGAAAGUGGUUGUUCUAUGAAUAGUAUGUGUCGGUAAUGUUGCCUAAUGCAUUAUUAUCUCUUUCUUCUUCUUUUUAGAUCCUUACAAUUUCCAUGGUAGUAAUGGAAGCAUAAGCAUGUAGAAGCAAUGGUGGCCAACAACAGGUGCAACACAAGGCAUUUCAUCAAAAGAUCGUAAAUGCUUAUAUUCCCAUUCACACUAUUCUAUUUAUCAUCAAAAGAUUCUUAAGGGUGAGUAGGAAUAUGGAUGCUUAACCAUUAAGCCAAACAUAUCGUAAGAUGAAGCUUCAAUUUUGGUUUGCUAACAAUCUUCUUUUUUGGAGGUCGUAGCAAUUACGACAAUUUUCAAUUUAUCCAUUUUGUGAUGAUUUUACAAAUAGUUCAAGUUUAUGAACUAAAUUGAUUUUUCAUAAAGUUGGAAGGUCAAAUAAAUAAUUAUGCUAAAAUAUAAUAGAUGAUUUAAAACCAAAUGAAAAUAUUUAUUUAUUAGAAUUUGAAGUUGCAAUUUCUUGAAAGUUUUUUUAAAAAUAAAGAUGUCUAUUUAUUUGUUUUCUUCACCAAAACUAUUCACAGCUUUAUCUUAAAAGAGAAAGAAAAAAGAAAUCUGAAGUAAAAAAAAAAAUGAGAAAAUAGUAAUCUUAAAGCUUGAUUCAAUCACUUUUUCCUUUUCUUUUUUUUUAAUUGAAAUGUUUUUUCCUCUACUGCAUCCUUAAAAAAAUAGAUCAAUAAAUAAUAAUUAAAAGGGUAAACUAUCAAAAUAGUCAUAUUUAUUUGCCUCAGGUUACAUUUUAGUCAGUGAGUCAUUAAUUGUUAUUAACGGUGUACCAGUAAGCUGAUGUGGCAAGUUAAAUCAUCAUUUCAAAUGAAAAUUUUAGGUUAAAUUCUAUAAUUGGUCCCUAUAUUUUUUCAUUUGAGCAACUUAAUUUUCUUUUAUGUUUAUUUAACUUCUUUUUUUUUCUUUAUUUUACUUUCUCUUCUGCUUCUCUCUCUGUUUUCCUCCCUUAUUCAUUUUUUUAACGUAAUUUUUCUAUGAUUUUCAUUUGUUAAAACUAGUCCCUAUACUUUAAUAAAUCAAUAAAUCAUAAUUAAAACACUAACUUUGAGUAAUAUAAUUUUUUUAACUUAAUAAAUUUUCAUUCCGGAACAAAUAUGAUUUCAAUUAAUAUAUAUAAUCAUUUAGGUGGAGCAAGGAAAUAAUUUUGAUUGGACUAAUAAUAUUAUACGAGUCAAUAAAACUCAUUGAAAUAUUAUUUCAAAUUGCAGAGUUGUAAGAUUAAAUUAGAUGUGAUCAUGGGUCGGGUUUAGACAUAAUAUUAACUCAUUUUAUAUUUCGUCCGUCAAAAUUUGAAUGUUCAUGCUUGGAAACCGUAACAAGAAGGAAAUAAUGAAGGAUUAAUUGGUAAGUGGAGAUAUUUUUCACCAUCCUUAAAUUUAAAGUUGUCAAAGAAAAUCUGUAGCGAAGAGUAGUAAUGGGAGCAUAAGCAUGUAGAAGCAAUAUUGGUGGGAUUUCAUCUUAUUAGCUGCUUUGGAAGAGGUUCUUAAGGAUGAGUAGGAAUAUGGAUGCUUAACCAUUCAGCUUAAUUCUCAUUAAGCUGUUUAAAAUUUUUGAAAAUUUUAAUUCCAAAUUUGACUUCAUUUAUUCUCUUAUAGUUAUAGUUUAUUUGAAUGCUUGGAACUAAGCUUUCACGUUGUUACAUUAUUGAAAAUUACUUGUAUUUUGAUAAGGAAAAUAAAGAGAAAAAUAACAAUUGAUUUUUUUAUCUAUUUUAUCUAUUUUAGAGUGAUUUGAAAAAUAAUACAAGUUUAAGGACUAAAUUAAUUUUAUAAGGAUGAUUAUAUAUUAAAGUUUGACAAUGAUUGUACAAAGCUAUUUUAUUCAUAACCAAGUCAAGAAAUUGUCACUCCACACAGUUGUCUACUUUUUCAAAAUCUACUUUAAAAGAUAGCACCUCCCCUUCUUCACAUCUUUGAAUAUAGUUCACAGUUUCGUUUUUACUGGAGCACGAUCCAGGAUUUAUCAAUCUGAAAUAAAAGUAAAAUUGAAUUUUAUCGAUUGUUCUGAGCCGAGCUUUGAAUCUAUAAAGUCAAAAUUUUUCAAUGGGGUUAGUGGACUUUACUUUAGUUUAAUUGAAAAUAGCUUUGAACAUAUAUAGACAUCUUUUCUCCCCUUGCUUGAGCUGUUGAACUAAACUAACUUUAUUCAUAUAAUAUUAAUUUUACCCAAAAUUUUCCGUUUCAACGAAAACAAAAUUCCUAAAAUACAAAAGUUAAUGGAAGAUAAAGAAGACAUUGGAUCUAGGUUUAGUUGUUUUGUAAUAAGCUAAAAGGGAUGCAGUUGUUGCAGGGCAUCCAUAUUUGUAUCCUCAACAUUUGGUAACUGAUGGGAGCUAUGCUAAACAUUCAACCAAUCAUUAGGUACUGAAACGUUUUCAUUAAAUGAUAGUCUUACAUAAUGUACACAAGAUUGCCUGAUAGUUAGUUGUGUUUCCAUGUGUUGGAUUAUUAUUUGAAACCCCAAAAGAGAAAAAUGUAUUUUUUUUUUUAAGAUGGCACACACAAAAGUAAAAAUAAAGGAGAAUAAAGAACACAACCAAGAUGUUUACGUAGUUCAGAACUCAUCCUACAUUUGUGAGCUUUGUCUAGAGAUAAAAUCGCUAUAAACUUUACAGUACAAUGAAAUUAUUUAUGCCCAACUCUCCAAACUUGGUGCAACCUCACCUUUGUACAAUUAAGUAAACACUCUUCCAACUUAGUGAAAAUCAACACUCAUAAGGUGGCACUCAACUAAUAGUUACUAACUAAAUGUUCCUUUUAAGUCCACAAAUCAUCAAUUUAUACAAGCUCCAAGAUCAGAUGAUGAAGAAUGCAUACAGAUUGAGUCUUCAACAAAGAAAAAAAGAAAAAGAAAGAACAAAUGUGCAUAGAGAGGAGGAUUUCAUGGGAGCACAAUGCCAUGGACAGAUCAGCUGAUGAAGAAUGCAUGUCCUGGUUUUUGGCUCUUCCAUUGAACUCAUGCUGAAAAAGAAGCAGCUUAGUUACGAGGUUAUAUUAGAUCAUUUGAAAUUAUGAGAUUAUUAUGAUUUUAAAAAUGUAAAGCAAUUAAGUAAUUACCACCUAUUUUUCUGCAUCUAAAUUCUUGAAGUUGUCAAAUGCCUUUCAGAAAAAUACAUGCCAAUCGAAUAUGUGGGCAGAUAAACAAAUGAGGGUAGAAAGUAUGAUCUCUGCUUUUUGUAUUGCAUGCUAUGCUCCGCCGAAGAAUAAAGCCAAAAGCUAACAAAAAUGAAGGGUAAAAAGAUUAAAAAUUUCAAGAUAAAACAUAAAAUUGUAUGUACAUAUGAUUAAGAUUUAAAUUAGGAAAAUGAACAAAGCAGAGCAUGAAGUAGAAGCAUAUUGAAGGCUGGCAUGCAAGCAUUUUGGAAAAUGCCCAUUGGGUACCAAUAAAGAUUUUUUAGAAUUAAAGUAUUAGAAGCUAUGAAAUGAUAGAUAUGAACCACCAAAAUGCUUCACACUACAUCUAAAUUAUUCAAUUUUGUUUUAUGGAAUCAAAUAGAAAAUAAAUGAGUGGCAUGAAUUACCUGUCAUUCCUUGUUGGUAUUUGGUGUAAGCUGCAAUUUCAAAUGUGUAUACACAUAUGGAUUUCAUCAGAUCAUUGCGAUGGUGAGAUUAAUAUAAUUUAAAAGCGUAAAGCAAUUAGCUAGAUUACCACUUUUUUUUUCUGCGUUUGAAUUCUUGAAAUUGCCAAAUUCGUUUCACUAAAAGUCUUCGAUGCUUACUGCACAAACUAGCCAAAUAAAAUGAUAAAUAAAGAAAUUGCACCAAAAGCUUGUUCUAUUUUGGCAAAAGAGGCUGUAGUUGGAGAGUCAAUAUACCAACCUGUAGCGAUCUGAGCAAUAUUAUGCCAAUCGGCACCAAUCCCCUUUCGAUAUCUUUCCUCCAACUGAGGAAUUCGUUUCAUAAAGAACUCUUCCAAACUGGUUCUCGUCCGGAAGCGAUGUUAAAUUAGGCAAAUAAGAGAGAAUAAGCCUUGGAAGAUUUGUUCGAUGUUGAAGCCACUCCGGAAGAUGGCGACACUUUAGAAUCUUUGCCAGCGUUAGAGAGCGCAGGCUUAUAUGAUCUUGGAAUAUUUGGAAGUUAGGUGCAGAUAACUCCAGCUCCUUGCAGUUACUUAUUGCAUGCCCUCUAAAUCAACCUCCUUGCAAUCUCCUAUUGUCAAUUUUUUGAGGCCGGUGAAAACAGAUUAAUGGAAACCAUGUAGUUUUCAAAGGUGAAUAAAUAAGGAAAAUUAAGAUCGGUGUUAACAAUUUUUACUAAUAUUUUGAAAACAUUUUAAAACAUUUUAAAUAAUAUUUUAGCUAACCAAAUUAAAAAUUGUACCCUAACCAAAUUAUAGACAAGUGUAUUUGAUUAAUUUAAAAAAAAAUUAUUUUAGCUUAUAUAAGGGUUAAAAUAUUUGGAAAGUUUAAAAUUAGUCCCUCUAUUAUUAAAUGGACCAAUUUUAUCCCAAUACUACUAAAAAGAACUAAAUAAGGUUAAAUUGUAACAGAUUUAACAUUAAUAGAAUUAACAAAUUUCAAUAUAUUUUUUAUAAAAUAAACCUUGAAUUUGUUAUAAUUUAACUUUAUUUGAUCAAUUUUAAUAGUACAGGUAAUAAAUUAAUAGCAUUAACAAAUUUCAAUAUAUUUUUUAUAAAAUAAAUGUUUUGCCUUUGAUGGAUGUUUGAAAAAUGAUUCAGUUGACAUCCAUAAUGUCUAUCACUAUAGUUUCCCCCUUAUGUAGAAUAUGACUGCUAGUUUGUCAGGCAAAAUUAUGUUCGUAUAUUAUGUUCUUUUUCUUAUUGUCUUCAACACGAUAACAAGUGAAUUACUAGUUACUUUACUUGAUUUUGUCAUGCCAUUUAUCUCUUUGAGUUUUGGCCUUUCUGAAUUAACUUUUGAAUCACGUAGUGAAGCAUUUCUGAUGGUUCUUAUGACUAACAGUAGGCUUUCUUAUCCAAGCUCUCCUACAUAUGCAUUUCUUAAACUUAUGCUCUUUUCUUCAUUUCAGUUGGUUGUUAAUCUUGAUAUAACCAUGCACAAAUACUAAUACUAAGGGACCUUGUAAUUUUGCCUGCCAUUGGAACUAUUCUGAAAUAUUGCUGAUUUUUCUCAGCAAUUAAAGAGGAAGAGCGCAGCAGACAAAAAUGAAGUUGAGUCUAGCCAACAUAAUACAAGAUGUGUUAUUCAACUUGUAGUUUGAUGUGUGCCAACAUAAGCAUCAACACACAAGUCAUACAUAUAAACAGCCAGGAAACCGACAUCUUUUGGAAGAGUCCUAAUCCAAGCAUCAUAAUUGAACAUAGUCUUGGAAUACUGUCUAAAAAAAUGGUUGUCUCAUCAUCAAUUGUGCAUCCCUGCAUUUGAAUGCUGUUUCGAACACUAAAAAAACAUAAAUGUGUUUUUUCUGAGUUGACACGUAUUAUGCAACAAGGAAAACAAAGAGCACAAUUAAGAUGUUUACACAGUUCAAAACUAGUCCUACAUCUGCGGCGCCUUACCCAAAGAUGAAUACACUAUGAACUUCAUAGUACAAAGAAAUGAUUUAAGCCCAACCCCUCUAACACUUGAUGCAAUCUCAACUUCAACCUCACCACCAAAUAUUCUGAAGCAUCUUCCUUUUUUUCCUGUUUGGACCUUCAAAAUAACAAACUUGGCUGGAACUCCAAACAGCUAAAAGAGUACCCUACAUCAAUAAAUAUUAUGAAUUUGAAUACCUCCAAAAGCCUGUCAAUAUCACAGGUACCAUCUAAGAUAGUAAUCAGCUGGCAUAUAUUAAGAGAAAAUAUAAAUAUAUAUAAAGAUGUGAUAGGUAAGUACUUAAAUGAAGAAAGCAGAGCAUAUAGUACAACCAUUUUGAAGGCUUCAUAGGCCUCUCUCUCCACAUCAAUGAUUUUUUAGAAUUAAAUUAUUAGAAGCAAUUGUCAAGUUAUUAUUAUGAUUUAAAAGUAAAAAGCAAAUAGAUAAAUUAGUACCUCUUUUUAUGCAUAUAAAAUGAUUGAAGUUGACUAAUGCCUUUCUCCAAUGCCUUACUGCACAAAUCACCAAAAAUACUAUGAAAGAUGAUAAGUAAAAAGUAGGAUUAAAACAAAGGGAUUUUAACAAGGAAGUUAACAGUAUCCAACUUCAAUGAAAAAUGGCAUCCAGACCCCUGACUUGGAGAUUCAAUAUACCACUCUUAUUUUUCUUCAAAAAAAAGAUAAGGUCAUCAAAAUAAAUAAAUAACAAAGAUAGACCAACCUGAUACAACCGAAUGUCGGGGAUGUGAGCAAUCUUUUGCCAAUCAGCGCCAAUGUCCUUCCGACAUCUUUCCUUCAACUGAGGAAUUUCUUGUACUUGUAAAUACUCCAAACUGGUUAGGCAACGCAUCUCGUCCGGAAGAGAUGUUAAAUUGGGCAAAUUAACGAGAUAAAGCCGUUGCAGAUUUGUUAGAUGUUGAAGCCACUCCGGAAGAUGCCGACACUUUGGAAUAUAUUCCAGCCGUAGAGAGCGUAGGCUUGUAUGAUCUUGGAAUAUUUGGAUGCCAGCUCCAGAUAACUCCAGCUCCUCGCAGUUCCUUACUUCAAACUCUUCAAGGAAAGUGAGAUGUUGGAACACAGGAAGCAGUGACCUCAAUCCAUUCCAGUUAUGAAUUUUUAAUGUUUUCAAUUGAACAAGAUGUUGAAGCCAAAUGGGGAGAGACACCAGCUUUGGAAUAUUAUAAAUCUCCAAAUGAGAGAGAUUCUUAAGGGGUUCCCAUUGCAUGCCCUCUAAAUCAACCACCUUGCAAUCUCCUAUUGUUAAUCUUUUGAGGCUGGUGAGAUGUUGCAGGCACUCAUCUAGCGUGUGAGUGUCCAACCCCUCAAUGUUGUGUACAUGGAAAGAUUUCAGUUUGGAGAGUGGAAGAGAAGAGGUUGAAGUUGAUGGGGCCUUAGCAUUGAUGUUCAUCUUGAUAGUCUGCUUUAACGGCCUUGAACUGGUAUUCCUCAACUCUAGCUUAUCAUCGAGUGAUGGAUACAGUGGCAUCAAAGUCAAAGGGCAAUUUACAAUCCGUAAAGAGGAAAGACAAGGAAAUGCCAUGAUUGAUGUUCCAAUAACUGUUGUGUCGUCCUCGUUGGAAUCAUCAUCGAUUGGUUUUGUCAUCCUCCACCAACUCUUCAUAUUCGGACAGUCCCAGAGCGAAAGAUGCUUAAGUGAUGGGAAGAAUGAUUGUGGUUCUCCUUGACUUCCUUUUAGGCUAUUAUCAUCCAUGUACUCCAGCUUAGUACAACGCUCAAUCUUCAGCAGUUCAAGACAGGGCAAUUGAGCAAAGGACGGCAAAUAUUUGAAAUUAUCACCGCUUAUGAAAAUUUUGACGAGAUUUGUGAGCAAAGGAAGCCAACUUGGAAACUUGGCCUUGCCCCUCCAUCCUGCAAUACAGAGCUCCUUGAGAUUAGGAUGGGGCUGGAGGUCUUCAAGCGACUUCUCAUCGUCAUCAUCAAAACGAAGGCUCCAUUCUAAAAGCAACGAUCUCAAAUGUUGCUUCUCUUUCAAAUUAGCAGCCUUAAACUUCUCUUUUGCAUUUUUUACGAAUCCCAAAUUUCUUAUUCUUAACUCUCCCCUUAAGUUGCUAAGCAGUCUCAAUUCACUUAGAUCUGCACCGCCAUGGGACCCAUCUUCAUCCACUACAAGCAUGCUUAACGUCUCAAGUGAAGUCAGCUUCCCUAUUCCACGUGGCAUAUGAGUUAAUUCCCAACAAUCUUUACACCUAAGAUGGGUAAGAUUCACCAAUUUUUCAAUCUUCUUCGGCAAUUCUUUAAGCCCAGUACACCAGUCAAGUUUCAGCGCUAGCAAAUUCUGAAUCUUGCAAAUACUCUUUGGGAGAAUCCUAACGGGAUUCUCAGAAAGAUCAAGGUACCUCAAAUGUUUCAACUUACAAAUGGAGGGUGAAAUCUUAUGAAUACCUAUAGAAUUCAAUUUCAAUACACGCAAGCAUCUGCAAUUUGCAAUUAUCAAAUCCCAAGUUUCAUAGCUGAAAUCUUGACUUAAUCCGUAUUGAAAAUGUAACAAGGUUCGCAACUUCUUUCCCUUAAACAAAGGAAUUAACGAAGGAUUAAUUGAUAUGUGGCGACAUUUUUCACCAACAUCACUUGCAAUUUUAUUUGAAUCUACAAUACUACUCUCCAUCCCUGCUACUGAUUCAGCUAGAUCAUGCAUUAAAUCAUGCAUUUUACAUGUCAUAUUCCCAAUUCCAUAUUCUUCUACCUCUUGAAAGAAACUUCUUUCAACUAAAUCUUUAAAAUACCCAAACCCGAUCUCCUCCAGAGAUUGACUUUGAUUCAAUUGCUUUAUGAAACCCUGUGCAAUCCAAAAUUGAACAAGCGCUUGUACUUGAAUUGUGUAAUCUGUUGGAUACAAUCGGCAAUAAGCAAAGCAAUGCUUCAAAUGAGACGGGAGAUGAUCAUAACUCAAUUUCAGUAUAGGUAGAAUUUCUCCUUCAAUUUGUGAAAUUUUAGCAAGUUCAUUUUCUUUGAAAGAAUGCCACUCAUUUGCAGUUUUCUUCAAAGAUAAUGUACCAGCUAUCGUCCUUAUGGCUAAGGGAACCCCACCACACCUUUCCGAAAUCUGUCUCCCCACUUCCACAAAGGCUGAAUUUGUUGAGUCUGCAUAUCCUUGCUCAAAUGCUAUCUUUUUGAACAAAGACCAAGCAUCAUCACCAGACAAGCCUUUCAAUUUCAAAACAUGGGAUUGACAUUUAUUAGUUAUCUCCGCUACCCUUAGAGAUCGAGUAGUUACUAUUAUCCUACUCCCUUUAGCCCCACCCAUCAAUAACUUCUUUAGCCUAGACCACCUUUCUGGGUCCUCAUUCCAAAUGUCAUCCAAAACAAGCAAAUAUUUUUUCCCAUCAAUUUUAUCUCGAAGUUGUUUUUGCAAUUGAUCCAUUUCAAGAUUUUGAUCAGGUGCUUGAUGAGUCACAGAUUUGAUAAUGUUUGCAACAAUAACUUUCACAUCAAAUUCAUCUGAAACACACGCAAACAUCGUUAAGUCAAAAUGAUUUUUGACCAUUUCAUGGUUAUAGACAAGUUGGGCCAAAGCAGUCUUCCCUAACCCUCCAAACCCCACAAUUGGAAUGAUAUAAACAUUCUCUUCACUUUGAAACUCCAACACGAGUUUUAGAAGAGCUGCUUUAUCAUCAUCCCUCCCUAUUAUGUCAUCUUCACGCUCAAAAGAGUGCGUUUGCUGCCUCCUUUUAGUCAUGAAAGAGGUUUCCGCGGGGCGAUCACGUGGAAUGAAGCCAAAAGUGUUGGCCCCACUUUCAAUUGAAGCUAAUCUCGCCUUAAUGGCCUUCAUUUUCCGACCCAUUUUGAGACCAUAAGCAAAUUGGUUUGAGGUUGAGAAGAAAAGGCGUACCUCUUUCGUCAGCUUGUUCCCACCCGACAGAUUUUUCCGCAAAGCUUCAGUAGAGAAAUCAUCGAGCAAGUCGUCGGCAUCAUAAAGUACAUGUUUCAGCUCUUCAAGCCAAACUUUGACGAGAUUGUCGGUCACCGAUUUCUCUUCAGCAUCAAGAAGCAAAGCUUUGAUUUGACAGACAGUGCGUCUGAGGUCGUGGAUGUCAUGUUUGAGAUUCCACCACAGCCCAACUUGAGAGAGAGCACGAGAGCUCAACUUAAUAAUGAGCUCUGCGGCAAUGUCGGAAGCAAUUGCUUCGGCCAUUGUUGGUUCGAACUGAAAUCAAGGCAAAAAGUGUUUGAUUCGUGAGAGAGGAGGACUAAAAUGAGAACAAUCCCAGCAAGAUGAAACACAGAUGUGGAUCCAUCCACCCAGCAAGUAGUAUAAUUAAAUAAAAAGUAAUGUUGAUUGGUGGGAAAUGGUCCCUCCAUGUUUACUGUUUGACACAAAUUUCUGAAUGGAGACAAAGUUGAGAUGAUGACACUAGGGGUGCUCUGCACAACGUACAAAUAAUUGAAAUUAAUGAAAAAGCUAUGAAAGAAAAGAGAAAAAGGAGACAAAUCCCAUGGAAUCCAAGGUGUUUUGAUUGACGCCAAUGCAUUCUGGUCUUUCUAAGGAUGGGUUUGGAUGGGCGAUUGGGUGCGGUGCGGUGCGUUUAACUUACUUUUGGUGUCACGCUACAGUAUCGCUACAGUAUUUAAUCUCACCACCACCUCUGUUUUUACACUAUCCACAGAUAAACGCACCGCCAAUCCAAACUCAUCCUAAACCUUCUUCCCACUUACUUUUGUGUAAUUGAGUGAGUCUCAAUACUCGGUUCUAACUUAAAUUUAAUAUUUUAUUUUUGAGUUUAACUUCGGUUAAAUAUAUAAAAUUAAAAUUAAAAUUCAUUGGCCAUUAGAAUCAAAUAUUAUUAAAUUCGAAUAUGAUUAAAUCAAUAAUUUAAACAUAACUUAUUGACUACUAAAUCAAAUUUAAAUCUUUUUCGAAUCGAAUUUAAUUAACUUACAAAUAUGAUUAUCAUGUCCUCCUUGUGAAAACUAAAGCAGUUGACAGUGCUAGUACAAUCUGCUUCAAAAAUGACAUUAUCGACUUUAAGAAAUUGAGCAAGCCGAAAACCAUCGAUGAGGGCAUCUAAUUCUGCUUUAAUAGUGAUUUUUUAUUCUCAUUUUAUCGGUAUAUUUACAUUUGAAUUCAAAUACAUAUUCUAUAAUUAACUUUAAUCUCACUGUUACAAUACUUAACCUCACUAAAUUACUUGUUUAACAUAAUUAUGGUGAAUUUAUAGAAAGAACAAUCACGAAGCAAAUGUAGAUGCACUUAUGUUUAAAAUGUUAUUAAUGAAAAUUUUAUUAUUUUAAAAAAUAAAAGUAUAAUAACUUUUUUGGCAUUCUAACUUUAUAAAAGAAUUAUUUUAGCUCUCUAUUUAUUUUCCUUCUUUUUUAGUCUUUCAUUUUACAUUUUUUUGUCAAACCAUCCAAAAUGGGUGAAAAAGUUGACGUUAAUUAACUUUGUUGACAUGACAUAUAGGUAGAUUACCACGUGUAUGUCACUUUAGCAAUUAAUUAUUUAAAAAAUAUUAAAAAAAUAUUUUCUUAUAAAUUUUAAAAUAUUUUUUAAAUUUUUUUAAAAUUUUAAAAAAUAUUUUAUUGCUUAUGUGGCAUAUACGUGGCAAUCUGCGUGUAUGUCACAUCAGUAAAAUCAAUGGACGUUAAUUUUUCACUCAUUUUGAAGUGAUUUGACAAAAUUUACAAGUUUAAGAACUAAAAGAAACGAAAAAUUAAAUGGAGAGUUAAAAUGACUUUUUCUAUAAAGUUGGAGACCAAAAGAAUCAUUAUGGCAAAAAAUAGUUGUCUUUCAUCUCUCUCUCUCUCUCUUUUUUGGUUAUUUUUUAGUGUUAAAAUUCAAGAUGGUAUGGAAUAGUUUUUAAUCUUAUUAUUGUUAUAUAUAUAUAUAUAUAUAUAUAUAUAUAUAUAUUUUCGAUCUCAUUAGAGUUAAUCUCACUGUCAAUAUAAAGAGAGCCUAAAUAUAAUUUGUUCAUCUUCUUUUAAACAUGUUAGUGCUCCUUUGUAUGAUCAUUUACCUCCUGUAAGUAGGAUUGAGUAAAUAAAAUAAUUAAAAAUCGAUUCAAAUCAAGGUGUUUAGACGGUUUACAGAAUACAAAUUAAAAAAUCACAAUUAUCCGAAACUAAAUCAAAUUCUAUUUUUUAUUUAAUUUAUAAAUAAAUUUAUUUUUUAUAAUAUAAAAAUAAAUCUUUUAUAUUUAAAAAUAGUGAAAAUAAAUAUAUUUUAAAAAUAUUAUAUAAAAGUAUUUGAUUAUUUUUAUUUACUUAGAAAAAAUUUAAAAAUAUCUUUGAUAUAAACUUUCAAAAUUUUUCAAAUGAUAUUUAAAAACUGUAAAAAAAAAGUUUAUUUCAUGAAAAUAAUUAUAAAAAUUUAUAAUAAAACUUUGAACUAAACUAAAUUAUAAUGGACGGAUUAAAAAAUAGAAUCGAAUUAAACAAAUAUCACUUGAUUUUAUUGCACUAAACUGGACAUAAAAGAUUUUCUUAAAAAAUUUAACCUGCAAUGAGAUUGUUUUUCUCACUAUAACCUUCUAGAGGUGUUAUAUAAGUACAUACCAUUGAUAAUUAUAAAUUUAAUUAUUUAAUUGUUAUAAAAAUUAAAUAUAUUACAAAUUAAUAUUUAUAUAAUGAUAUAUUGAAUACAUGUAAAUUUAUUAUCAUAAAUAUAUUUUUAAUUAUUAUUUAAUAUAAAUAAUUUUAUUAUAUUUUAUUAUUUUCAUUUAUAUAAAAUAUAGAAUUUUAAGUUUAUAAUAAUUUCAAAAAAUAUAUAAUUUUCAUAAUCAAAUUUUAUAUGAAUUAAAUCUAAAUAAGUAGAUAUGUAAUAAUCAAUAAAAAAUUAAUAAAAAUAUAUUUAUUAAUAAAUUUAUUAUUUACCAUGAUUGCAAAUUUAGUAUAUAUUAUAUUAUUUAGUGUUAAAUAUAAUCUUUCAUUUUACAAAUAUAAUUUAACAUCCUUAAUAAUCAAUUUAAGGUGAAAACACCUCUCUAGUCCCUUUCAAUUUUGAUAUCAAGCAAAUUGGUCCUUUUAAAAAAUUUAGAACAAUUUUAUCAUUGUUAAUUUUGAAAUUGAGCAACUAAGGAUAAUUAAUCACAACGUUAAUAUUUUUGUCAUCUAUACAUAAUUUUAUAGGUAUAAUAACAACUUUAGCCCUAAAAUUUUACACAUUUUGUCAAUUUAGUUCUAGUUUAACAAAAUCAAAUUGCAACAUUUACACAUUAUGUACGAACUGAAUUUGUUAUUAUACUAAUCAAAAUUAUAUACGAGAGACAAAAAAAUAUUAACAUUAUUGUUAAUUGUCCUUAGUUCACUUUUGAAAUUGAUAGGGAUUAAAUUGCUCCAUUUUUUUAGAGGGGCCAAUUUGCAAAAUAUUGAAUUUAAGAGGGAUUGAAGAGGUGUUUUUAUCCAUUUUUAACCUCACCUCACUACUACAAUUGUUAUUGAAUCCAAAUAUAUAUCCAACACUGAUUAUUGUCACAUCACUAACGUAUUCAAUCUCACUAUUACAACAACUAAUUUUACCACCAACGUUAUUUUUAAUUUCUUUAGAAUUCAUCCAAUUAUACAUCCAAAGAAAACCAUAAACUUAUCUAAAUAAUUGUUAUAAAAAUUAAAUAUAUUACAAAUUAAUAUUUAUAUAAUGAAUACAUGUAAAUUUAUUAUCAUAAAUAUAUUAUUCAUUGAAUAUUAUUAUACGUGAUUUUAUAUAUUUAUUUUUUAUUCACUGAAUAAUAUAUUUUUAUUUUAUGUAAUUAAUACAAAUAUAAUAUUAUUCAAAUUGUGGUACAUAAUUAAAAUAGUGUAACAAUAAAAAAUUCAAACAUAAAAGUUUGGAAGUAAAUAAUAAUGAAAUAAAAUUUUUAGUGAUUUUAACUACUAAUUUAAUAAAAAAUUAAAACAUACUAUUCUUAUGUAUAAUUUAUAAUUUAAUAUAAAAUAUAAUUUUAAUUAUUUUUAAUAUAAACAUAGUUUUGAUAUUUUUAAUUAUUAUUUAAAAUAUUUUAUUAUAAUAUAUAAAUUAAUAUAUAUAUAAUAUAAAAAUCUAUAAAAGAAUUCCAAAUUUCAAUUAUUAUAAUAUAAAUUUUAUAUCUAAAAAUCCUGAAUUAAAUUAAAUUAAUUCAAUUGAAUUGGACAAACAAAUUCGACCGAAAAUCAUUUGAUAUGAUUGGUUGGAUUACCAAUCUAAUUUUAAAAACCUUGACCAGGACAACAUCAAUAUGUGAAUUUGUUUAAUAUUGUUUAUUUAAUAAGUCUAAAUUUUGAGCAUCUAAAAUGUUAAUAAAAUCUUAUUUCUAAUUAUUUUCAUACAUUGAAUAUGUCAUUUCACUUUGUUAGAACUUGUUUAAAAGAAUAUUGUAUGCUUCAAUGGAAGUCACAAUUUUACGGAAAAAUUUCGUAAAAAUUUCGUUCGAAAAUUUCGACGUUUGGGCACUCAAUUUAGUCAAAAGGACUAAAUUGUAAAAAGUGCCAAAGUUGAGUUCUACAUGUUAGAAGUGUCUAAUUGUUAUGAGAUUAUAAGUUGGGGGUCCUUAUGUGGUAAUUAGACCAUUAGUUAAUUUAUGGACAAAAAUAGACAUAAGAAAUGGGUGAAAUAUAUAUUUUUUAAGUAGGGGCAUUUUAGUCAUUUGGUAAUAAAAAGAAUAAAAUGGGAAAAAGAUGACAAAAAUCAUCAUCUUCUCCAUAAGUUGCUGUCAAAUUUGAAGAGUCACCAUAGCUAGGGUUUCUUCACUUUCUCAAGCUCAUAGUAAGUGCAUCCUAGCCCUGUUUUUAAUGUUCUUCGCAUUUUUGGAAUCCUCGUAGCUCGGUUUAGCUUAUUCUAUCAAUAAUUCAUGUUAGGGUUCAUAUUUGGAAAAAUAUCCAUAGGUGAAAUGUGUUUAUUUUUCUGUUUUAUGGUAGAAUAUGAAGCUAGAAAUUAUGUUAAACAACUUUUGCUAAGUGAUUUUAAGCAAAAACGAGUAAAUCGACAUAAUCGGUAAAAAUAUUUAUUGUUCAUAAGUGUAUGUUAGAGUGAGAAUUUGAUGUUGCCAUAGAAGGGAAAAGUGUUCAGCAUGUUGUAAAACAUAAGAAUAAGGUGUGAAAUUUAAUUUUCGAGCUUGGGGACAAAAAUGUAAUUAUGCAAAAGUUUAGGGGCAAAAUUGUAAUUUUAUAAAAGUUGAGUCGAAGCUUGUUUUAAUAAAUGUGAAUAUUAAACAAGCUCAAUUUUCUGUUAUAGAUCAAGAAAGAUGAGAAAUCAACCUUAAUCGGGGAAAAGAGAAGAUUGAGGAUUAAAUUGCAAAAUCUUUACAUUUUGUAUCGAGGUAAGUUGUAUGUAAUUAAUAUUGUUAUAAUUGUUUUCGUUAUAUUUUGUGACAAUAUACGUGAAAGGGUUGAUAUUAUAAUGUGUUUUGAAUGAGUUGUAAAUAUAUUUGGAAAGUAAGAAUCUUUGUGGAAAUGUCGUAAUGCUAAAGAUUUGAGUAAGGUAUCGAUGAACACGUGUGUAGUAUUGUGUGAAGGCUACUACGUGUAUCGAUAAGUAAUGUUCACAUGGGUAGUACUAAGUGAAGGCUACUAUGUGUACCAAGAAGCUUUGAGCACGUGUGUAGUACUGUGUGAAUGCUACCACGUGUCUCGGUAAACUACGGUCACAUGUGUAGUACUAAGUGAAGGCUACUAUGUGUACCAAGAAGCUUUGAGCACGUGUGUAGUACUGAGUGAAGGCUACUACGUGAGCCGUAAAACUUGAUCACGUGUGUAGUACUAUGUGAAGGCUACUACGUGAAUUGUAAAACUGAUCACGUGUGUAGUACUAUGUGAAGACUACUACGUGUAUCGAAUGAUAAAAAUAAUAUGAGUAGUACUAUGUGAAAAGCUCCGAAUAUUAUUUUAUAUAUACCGUCAUGAUGAUGAAAUUUGAGUAUGUGAUCGGAAUGUAAUAAGUUGUGAAAAUCGAUUGAAGUGAUGAAAUUUGCGUUGUGUUAUAAAAUAAGUGGUUAUAGUGCUAUGUGAAUAAGGAAUGUUGGAAUAGAACAGAUUUGGACAGUGACAGUGAUGUUAGUUUGAAAAAUCACCAAAAACUAUAAAAAUUGAGUUAGAGGUUGAAUAAUAUAUGAGAUUGAAGCUGAAUGAAUCUAUUUUCAUAUGGAAGAAACAAAGCAAGCAAAGGAGUUGUAUGUUUGGAGAUAUUUAAACUUUAUUGAGACAGGGUUGGAUUGAUUUCGAAAUCCCAUGUUUCAACUUUGGAAAAUCACCAAAAAUUGUAAAAAAAUAAUUAUGGCUUGAAAUUUAUAUUCUUGAAUUCCUUAAUGAGUCUAUUUUUAAUAGAAAGAAACAAGAACAUUGUUUAAAUUUUGUACAAAGAGUUAAAUAAAUUUUAGUGAAGAGAGGUCAGAAGUGUCAAAGAGUGAAACAGGGGAACAUUUAGAGAAUAAACUGUACUAAUUGGCUAAAAAAAAAUUCUGAAAAUUUUAUGGUAAGAAUAUAUGUGAGUCUAGUUUCAGAGAAAAUUUACGGAUCUCAAUUCGGAGUUCUGUAUCUCCGGAUAAAAAUAAUUUACCGACUGUGAUGUAGAAAAACAGUUUGUUGGAAGUUGACUAAAUGAUAGAUUUAUGUGUGAUAGAAAUGAUAUAAUAUAUGAUACUAUCUUAGAAAUUUAUUUAUCGAUUACAUACAUACUUACUAAGCUGUAAGCUUACCCCUCUUUAUUUUUCCUUUGUUUUAUAGUGAUAUUAAUCAACUCGGGAAUUGGACGGAGUUAGAACAUCAUCCUCACUAUCAUCACCAACUUUUGGGUAUUUUGCAAUCAAUACUUUUGAAAAAUGGCAUGUAUAGAUGACUUAAUGCAAUGUAGUUUAAACUUAUAUAUAUAUAUAUAUAUAUAUAUAUGUAUAAAAUAUCGUUUGGUUUAAAAUGUCGGUAUCUAUAAUUGAUGAAUUAUUUCCUUAAAUCUUUUGUUCAUAUAGUUUAGGAUGUUAUGGAUGAAUUAAUCAUGUCAGAACAUAUGAUUGUGUUUGGUUGAAAUAUCGAUGUUGCUUGAGAUUGUGUUUCGAAAAUUUGCAGGAGGAAUUGAAUAUUUAUGAAAAGAAACUAUGUCAAAAUUUUUGUAAAAGAAAAAAAAAAUUUGAUCGCUUGAUAACACUUCUCGCCUUGUUUCGACGAUGAAUACGGGUAAGAGGUGUUGCAAUAAACUUAUCUAAAUAAUUGUUAUAAAAAUUAAAUAUAUUACAAAUUAAUAUUUAUAUAAUGAAUACAUGUAAAUUUAUUAUCAUAAAUAUAUUAUUCAUUGAAUAUUAUUAUACGUGAUUUUAUAUAUUUAUUUUUUAUUCACUGAAUAAUAUAUUUUUAUUUUAUGUAAUUAAUACAAAUAUAAUAUAUUCAAAUUGUGGUACAUAAUUAAAAUAGUGUAACAAUAAAAAAUUCAAACAUAAAAGUUUGAAAGUAAAUAAUAAUGAAAUAAAUUUUUUAGUGAUUUUAACUACUAAUUUAAUAAAAAAAUUAAAACAUACUAUUCUUAUGUAUAAUUUAUAAUUUAAUAUAAAAUAUAAUUUUAAUUAUUUUUAAUAUAAACAUAGUUUUGACAUUUUUAAUUAUUAAUUAAAAUAUUUUAUCAUAAUAUAUAAAUUAAUAUAUAUAAUAUAAAAAUCUAUAAAAGAAUUCCAAAUUUCAAUCAUUAUAUUAUAAAUUUUAUAUCUAAAAAUCCUGAAUUAAAUUAAAUUAAUUCAAUUGAAUUGGACAAACAAACUCGACCCAAAAUCAUUUGAUAUGAUUGGUUGGAUUACCAAUCGAUUUUAAAAACCUUGACCAGGACAACAUCAAUAUGUGAAUUUGUUUAAUAUUGUUUAUUUAAUAAGUCUAAAUUUUGAAGCAUCUAAAAUGUUAAUAAAAUCUUAUUUCUAAUUAUUUUCAUACAUUGAAUAUGUCAUUUCACUUUGUUAGAACUUGUUGAAAAGAAUAUUGUAUGCUUCAAUAGAAGUCACAAUUUAUCUUUGAUCAUGAUUGUUCGCAACUGAGCUACUUAGUAAAUUAAAAAUCAGACCUCGACUAUGUACUGUAAGUGCAUUUUCCUACAAACUUUACCCUAUGAUUCAUUAGCCAAAGGUAUUCAUCCCAUCCCCCAAAGUCAUGAGAUAGAUUUGUAAGCUUUGUUUAUGUUAUAGUUAAGGUGGAUGUGUACGCUAGUGUGUGAGUUCUAAAUUAUAUUGUACAAAAAACAACCUAAAAAGAAGACAAAAGAAGACAUUGGAUAUAGGUAUAGCUGUUUUGUAACAACCUAAAAAGGGUCGUAAUUGCUGCAGGGCUCCCGCAUUCUCGUAUCCUCAAUAUUUGAUAAUCGAAUGGAGCUCAGCUAAGCAUUCAACCAAUCAUAAGAUGAAGAUGUGGGAUUCAUUACUCAAUCUAGCAAUGUCUUCAAUUUUGUACAACUCAAUCUUCAAAUUGCUUAAUGGUUCUUGCGUGAAACCCUUCCAUUAAAUGAUAGUAGAUCUACAUAAUGUACUCAAAAUUGCUUGAUAAUUAGUUGUGCUUGUGUUGGAACCUUAUUUGAAACAUCAAAAGAGAAAAAUAUGUUUUGUCUUGAGUGGACACAUAUAUAAAUAAAACUAAAGAACACAACUAAGAUAUUUACGCAGCUUGAAACUUGUCCUACGUUUGCAGCGCCUUGUUCAGAGAUAAAUCCACUAUAUAUUUUCUAGUACAAAGAAAUGAUUUAUGCCCAACUCUCAAACAUUUGGUGUCACCUCACCUUUGUACAAUGAAGUAAACUCUCGCCCAAUUCACUUUAGCUAUACAAUUGAAAAUCAACACUCAAAAGGUGUAUAACAAUGACACUCAAUAAUAAUUCCUCGCUAUGAGCGCAUGUACUCCUUUAAAUCCACACAUCAUCCACUAAACAAAUCAUCUAUAUAUAAGCUCCAAAAUGCACCAAGCUUUACAUAAGCUCCAUGUAAAGUGGAAUAACAAAUUUUCAAAUGCAAUAUCACUGGACCUAUGUAGAAACACUUACUGUUACUAAACGCUACUGUAUAUCAUGUGCAUAAAUGGUGGCUCACAGCAAACCCAUUGUCCAUGCUUUUUCAGUGCGUUCAAAGUUUAUACAUUCUGUCAAUUUAGUUUUGAUUUAAUAAAUUUAGCCUACAAUAUUUACACAUUUUGUCAAUUUGAUUCUAGUUUAACAAAAUUAGAUUGCAACAUUUACACAUUAUGUAUGAGCUCGAUUUGUUAUUAUACCAAUCAAAAUUAUAUACGAGUGAUAAAAAAUAUUAACAUUGUGGUUAAUUGUCCUUAGUUCACUUCCGAAAUUGAUAGGGAUUAACUUACUUAUUUUAUUUUUAGGGGGGCCAAUUUGCAUAAUAAUGAAUUUGAGAGGAACAAAAGGUGUGUUUUUGCCCAUUUUUAUCCUCACCUCACUACUACAAUUGUUAUUGAAUCCAAACAGGUAUCCAACAAUAAUUUCAAUCACAUCACUAUGGUAUUCAAGCUCACUAUUACAACAAUUAAUCUCACCACCGCUGUUAUUUUUAAUUUCACUAGAGUUGAUGGAAUUGUCCAUCCAAUGAAAGUCAUAGACCUAUCUAAACACAAAUACAAAGAUAAAAACUUAUUUAGAUAUAAAUUGAAAAAUAAUUUUUAUUAUUUGACACAAUUAAAAUGUAAUUACUUGCUUGAUUGAUACAUUUGCUCAAAGGUAAUGUAGCCCCUUCCAUUUUAUUAUUUGCUUAAUUUUUUUUGUAUGUGAUAUUUUGAUCUGUUCAUAAAUGGAAUGUUUCAUGGUGGCUAAGUUUCUUAGGGGAUAAAUUAUGAGUAGCAUUAUUUGUUUGUGCAGUGAAAUUGUGAUGUCUAUAUUUUAAUCUAUUUCUGUAUUUGAUGAUGUAGUGGAGUUUUAAUAUAAUUGUAAUUGAUGGUUUGUUAGUUUUAUGUACCAUAAAUGCUAUAGUAAGAGAGUUUAAAGCCGAACAUUUAAUGUCGUGCUCUAUAUGAAGAAAGGUUGAUGAGUGUUAGUUCUUUUGAUGUUUUGCCUUUGAUGGAUGUUUGAAAAAUGAUUCAGUUGAUAUCCAUAAUGUCUACCACUAUAGUUUCCCCCUUAUGUAGAAUAUGACUGCUAGUAUGUCAGGCAAUAUUAUGUUCGUAUAUUAUGUUCUUUUUCUUAUUGUCUUCAACACGAUAACAAGUGAAUUACUAGUUACUUUACUUGAUUUUGUCAUGCCAUUUUUCUCUUUGAGUUUUGGCCUUUCUGAAUUAACUUUUGAAUCACGUAGUGAAGCAUUUCUGAUGGUUCUUAUGACUAACAGUAAGUUCUCUUAUACAAGCUCCCCUACAUAUGCAUUUCUUAAACUUAUGCUCUUUUCUUCAUUUCAGUUGGUUGUUAAUCUUGAUAUAACCAUGCACAAAUACUAAUACUAAGGGACCUUGUAAUUUUGCCUGCCAUUGGAACUACUCUGAAAUAUUGCUGAUUUUUCUCAGCAAUUAAAGAGGAAGAGCGCAGCAGACAAAAAUGAAGUUUUGUCUAGCCAACAUAAUACAAGAUGUGCUAUUCAACUUGUAGUUUGAUGUGUGCCAACAUAAGCAUCAACACACAAGUCAUACGUAUAUACAGCCAGGAAACCAACAUCUUUUGGAAGAGUCCUAAUCCAAGCAUCAUAAUUGAACAUAGUCUUGGAAUACUGUCUAAAAAAAUGGUUGUCUCAUAAUCAAUUGUGCAUCCCUGCAUUUGAAUGCUGUUUCAAACACUAAAAAAACAUAAAUGUGUUUUUUUCUGAGUUGACACUUAUUAUGCAACAAGGAAAACAAAGAGCACAAUUAAGAUGUUUACACAGUUCAAAACUAGUCCUACAUCUGCGGGGCCUUACCCAAAGAUGAAAACACUAUGAACUUCAUAGUACAAAGAAAUGAUUUAAGCCUAACCUCUCUAACACUUGAUGCAAUCUCAACUUCAACCUCACCACCAAAUAUUCCGAAGCAUCUUCCUUUUUUUCCUGUUUGGACCUUCAAUAACAAAUUUGGCUGGAACUCCAAACAGCUAAAAGAGUGCCCUGCAUCAAUAAAUAUUAUGAAUUUGAAUACCUCCAAAAGCCAGUUACCAUCUAAGAUAGUAAUCAGUUGGCAUAUAUUAAGAGAAAACAUAAAUACAUAUAAAGAUAUGAUAUGUAAGUACUUAAAUGAAGAAAGCAGAGCAUAUAGUACAACCAUUUUGCAGGCUUCAUAGGCCUCUCUCUCCACAUCAAUGAUUUUUUAGAAUUAAAUUAUUAGAAGCAAUCGUCAAGUUAUUAUUAUGAUUUAAAAGUAAAAAGAAAGUAGAUAAAUUAGCACCUCUUUUUAUGCAUAUAAAAUGAUUGAAGUUCACUAAUGCCUUUCUCCAAUGCCUUACUGCACAAAUCAGCAAAAAAUAUUAUGAAAGAUGAUAAGUAAAAAGUAGGAUGAAAACAAAGGGAUUUUAACAAGGAAAUUAACAGUAUCCAACUUCAAUGAAAAAUGGCAUCAGACCCCUCACUUGGAGAUUCAAUAUACCACUCUUAUUUUUCUUCAAAAAAAGAUAAGGUCAUCAUAAUAAAUAAAUAACAAAGACAGACCAACCUGAUACAUCCGAAUGUUGGGGAUGUGAGCAAUCUUUUGCCAAUCAGCGCCAAUGUCCUUCCGAUAUCUUUCCUCCAACUGAGGAAUUUCUCGUAUUUGUAAAUACUCCAAACCGGUUAGGCAACGCAUCUCGUCCGGAAGAGAUGUUAAAUUGGGCAAAUUGACGAGAUAAAGCUCUUGCAGAUUUGUUAGAUGUUGAAGCCACUCCGGAAGAUGCCGACACUUUGGAAUAUUUAGCAGCCGUAGAGAGCGUAGACUUGUAUGAUCUUGGAAUAUUUGGAUGCCAGCUCCAGAUAACUCCAGCUCCUUGCAGUCCUUUACUUCAAACUCUUCAAGGAAAGUGAGAUGUUGGAACACAGGAAAGAGUGACCUCAAUCCAUGGCAUUCACGAAUUUCUAAUGUUUUCAAUUGAACAAGAUGUUGAAGAGAAAUGAGGAGAGACACCAGCUUUGGAAUAUUAUCAAUCUUCAAUUGAGAGAGAUUCUUAAGGGGUUCCCAUUGCAUGCCCUCUAAAUCAACCUCCUUGCAAUCUCUUAUUGUUAAUCUUUUGAGGCUGGUGAGAUGUUCAAACACAGGAAGCAGUGACCUCAAUCGAUUGCAGUUCUGAAUUUUUAAUGUUUCCAAUUGAACAAGAUGUUGAAGAGAAAUGGGGAGAGACACCAGCUUUGGAAUAUUAUCAAUCUUCAAAUGAGAGAGAUUCUUAAGUGGUUCCCAUUGCAUGCCCUCUAAAUCAACCUCCUUGCAAUCUCUUAUUGUUAAUCUUUUGAGGCUGGUGAGAUGUUGCAGGCACUCAUCUAGCAUGUGAGUGUCCAGCCCCUCAAUGUUGUGUACAUGGAAAGAUUUCAAUUUGGAGAGUGGAAGAGAAGAGGUUGAAGUUGAUGGGGCCUUAGCAUUGAUGUUCAUCUUGAUAGUCUGCUUUAACGACCUUGAACUGGUAUUCGACAACAUUAGAUCUUCAUCGAGUGAUGGAUACAGUGGCAUCAAAGUCAAAGGGCAAUUUACAAUCCAUAAAGAGGAAAGACAAGGAAAUGCCAUGGUUGAUGUUCCCAUAACUGUUGUGUCGUCCUCGUUGGAAUCAUCAUCGAUUGGUUUUGUUGUCCUCCACCAACUCUUCAUAUUUGGGCAAUUCUCGAGGUGAAGACGCUUAAGCGAUGGGAAGAAUGAGUUAAUCUCACCACCAACAUUAUUUUUAAUUUUACUAGAAUUGAUCCAAUUAUACAUCCAAAGAAAACCAUAAACUUAUCUAAAUACAAAUAAAACUAUUAAAAAAACUUAUUUAGACAUAAAUUGAAAAAUAAAUUUUAUUAUUUCACACAGUAAAAAUAUAAUUACUUGCUUGAUUUAACCCAUUCAAUUUGGUCAGAUUGAAGGUUAUUCUUUGAUAAGAUAUUAUUAUUAUUAUUUGCUUUGGGCAAACUUAAUACAACUUGAUUUACUCUUUAUUAAUUAAAAGCAUUUUAUUUAUAUUUAAUUAUAAAAAUGUGUAUAUAUUAUUAAAAUAUUAUUUUUUAAUAUUAAAUGAAUAGUGAAAUAAGGUCAACUUAUAAGGGUUAAAGUAUUUAGGAAGUCCCUAUAUUAUAGACUGUAUCAAGUUAGUCUCUCAAUUUAAAAAGAAUCAAAUUAUAUCAAAUUGUAACAGAGUUAACAAUUUUCAAUACAUUUUUUAUGCAAUAAAUGUUAACUUUGUUGUAAUUUGGUUUUAUUUGAUUCUUUUUAAUAGUAUAGAGACUAAAUUGACCAUUUAAUAAUAAAGGGACUAAUUUGAUGUAGUCCCUAUAAUAGAGGUACUUUCACCCUUAUAUAUGUGCUUGAAUCUUAUUUUGGAUGAAAUUGAACAAAUGAAAAAGAUAAGAGUUGAAAAAGGUAAAAAUAAAUGAAAUUAGCACAUUAAAUUGUAAUUAUAUACAAAAGAUUCUUAGGUAUGAGUAGGAAAAUGGAUGCCAAACAUAUCGUAAGAUAAGAUGAAGCUUCAAUUUUGGUUUGCUGACAAUCUUCUUUUUUGGAAGUCAUAUCAAUUACGACUGUUUGAAUUUUUAACAUCUAGAGAUGAUUGUCAAAAUAUUAUACUAACAAAUUAGCCAUAAUCACUUAUUUAGCUCUCCAACUUUACAAUAAAAAUCAUUUUAGCUCUUCAAUUAAAUUUUUGUCUCUUUUAGUCCUUAACCUUGCAUUAAUGUUUAUCUAUUUUAGAGUGAUCUGAUAAAUAAUGCAAGUUUAAGGACUAAAUCGAUUUUUCAUAAAGUUAAAUAUAAUAGAGAAUUUAAAAACAAAUGAAAAUAUUUAUAUUUUAUUUUAUAUUUGUUUAAGUUCGGCCUGGUCCAAAAUAUAAACUUAAAAAAUCUGUUUAAAUUUGUAAACAGCUAACUCAAACUCAUUUUAAAUCCACUCGUUCUAUUUUUUUAAAAAAAUUAAAAUGUAUUUAUAUUAUUUUUAACUUAAUAUUUAAUAAUUUUAUAUUUUUAUUAAAAUUUUAUAUAUAGUCAUCUUAAUAUUAAUAAUUUUAUUUUUAAUAGUUUUAUUAAAAUUAAAACCUUGACCAGGACAACAUCAGUAUGUGAAUUUAGUUUCGUAUUUAUUUAAUUUGGUUAGCACAUAUUAAUAGUUUUCAUAGUCUCUUUAGUUUUUGUUUUUUUGGGAUUGUGUAAAAUUUAAAAUUUUAGAUAUUUUUAUGUUCAUAUUUUCUUUUAUAAAUAUAUAUAUUGUAAGCUCUCACUAAUUUUUUCAAGCUUUUAGGAGUUCCUUCUAUUGAAGCAAUAUCAUGAUCAAAUCUAUAAUCAGUAUAUAUGAGAAAGAAAAAAAAUAUAAAAUAAAAUAAAUUAAAAAUUAAAAAUAGACUUGGACACUUAUGGAUGUUAAAUUUAUAAUAAGUUCAAGUAAAAUGGCUAAAAUAAUCAAACUACCGUCUAACUCAUGCUAUGAAAACAUAUAAUCACAGUUAAAAAAAUAUUGUAUAUUUUGAUGAAAGUCACAAUUUAUCUUUGGUCAUGCUUGUUCGCAACUAAACCGCUAUAAUGUAACUACAUGUUCUUACAAAUCUCGCGCUAGUCGACUUUGCCCUAUGAUCCAUUAGUCAAAGGUAUUUAUCCGAUUGAUUUGUCAGUUUUACCUUUUUUAUACUUUUAAGUAAAUGUGUACGAAGUGUGUGAGUUCCAAGUUAUACUGUAACAAAAAUUGAAAAUACCUGACAAGACCAAAAUGAAACAAUUAAUACCCAAAAUUUUAUUCUUCAAUAUAGAAACUAAUGCACAACGAAAAUAAAGUUAGUAAAUUAGUAGGAGAUAAAAGAAGGGUAUAGAUGUUUUGUAAGAAGCUAAAAAGGGUUGUAAUUGUUGCAGGGCAUCCAUAUUGUCAUAUCCUCAACACUUGGUAAUUGAAUGGAGCUAAGCUAAGCAUUCAUUACUCUUGGAAUUGCUCAAUGGGUGUUGCGUGAGGCCCUUUCAUUAAAUCAUAGUCCACAUAAUGUACACAAAAUGGCUUGAUGGAGGGGCGAGAUACAACUAAAAAUAUGUCAGGGGAUAAAGCUAAUAAUUUAAGAAUUUUAUUUAACAAUUAAUGAAUCAAACGAUAUCAUAUUAUUAUAUUUUUAAUGAAUAAAUAAUUUAUUGUUUUAAUAAAGUGAUAUUAUGUGUGUAUAAUAUAAUUAUAUGAUACAUCAAAUAUAAAUCAUUAAUUUAUAUACUUAAAAGUGUGUUUUGUUAAUCUAAUGUGUUUAAAAAAGAAAGAAGAAAUAAUCCUCUUAAAUUUUAUAAUCUCGUCGUGUUUUUAAUAUGUUAGAAUCAAGUUACCAAUAUGAUGAGUACACAAGUAUUUACAAUUUAAUCAUGUCAAAUGAGAACAAAAUUUAAAACUUAAAUUGACAGCUACAAAUGAAAUAAUUUUAUUGAUAUAAUAUAAUACUUUCAAAUUUUAAUUAAAAUAUUUUAGAAUUAUAAAUUAAUUUUUAAAAAUUAAUAAUAAAUUGAGAAUAUUUAAUACAAAUAACUUCGUAUAUGAAUAUAAAUAGUUAUAACACAUUUAUUAUUAAAUGAAAAUAAUGUUGAGAAUCAAGUUACCAAUAUGAUGAGUACACAAGUAUUUACAAUUUAAUCCAUGUCAAAUGAGAACAAAAAUUAAAACUUAAAUUGACAGCUACAAAAAUGAAAUAAUUUUAUUGAUAUAAUAUUAAUACUUUCAAAUUUUAAUUAAAAUAUUUUAGAAUUUAUAAAUUAAUUUUUAAAAAAUUAAUUAAUAAAUUGAGAAUAUUUAAUACAAAUAACUUCGUAUAUGAAUAUAAAUAGUUAUAACACAUUUAUUAUUAAAUGAAAAUAAUGUUGUUUGGAGUUUUCUAUUUUUUCAUUAGCCAACUGAUGAUAAAAAUGAUAAAAUUGAAUCGUUGGGGUGACUACUAAGUAGGUUACCUUUUUUUAGGUUAAAAUAUGCCAUAUGUCCUUGUACUCACCAUAAAUUUGAAAUUUAAUCUCUAUACUUGUAUUUAUAGGAAUUUAAUUCUUUUACUUUUCAGAGUUCAAAUUUUAGGUCCAAUUGUUAAUACUGUUAAUUUUUUUUGUUGAAUUUGUUAGUGUGACUGUUUGAAAUAAAAAAAAACUUACUUGGUAGCCAUGUAACUAAGAAUAUGACAUUUUAAUGAACCUGAAUUUAAUAAAAUAAUUUUAACAGUAUUAACAGUUGGACUUGAAUUUUAAAAUUUAAAAAGUAUAGGGACUAAAUUCUUUAAAAUAAAAAUAUACAAACUAAAUUCUAAACUUACAAAUAUAUAUAUAUAGGACUUGGGGGAUUUUAAUUUUGUUAUGGUAAAUAAGGGGAAAUAGAGAAAAAAAAAAAGGCAAUUAAUAUGUGAACAAAAUCUACAUGUUUGCAAUUUCUAGAUAAUUUUGUGAUUAAUAGAAAUUAUUUUUCGAUUCAUUAAGGUUAAAAUUUUUUCAGAAUUUUUAUAGCAGAAUUUAAACCUUAUUUCUUCAAUUCUUGCAUCUUCGAUUAAGGUCCACUUAGCAAUACAAUUUUAGAGAUUAAAAAAGUUACAUUUCCAUAUAAUGUUUCUUGAGAAAUUUUUUUUCUUUUUCAAAGUUUCAUUAAUAUACAUGCAUUGUACGUGAUUUAUAUAUUUAUUUUUAUUCACUAAAUAAUAUAUUUUUAUUUGAUGUAAUUAAUGCAAAAAUAAUAUUAUUCAAAUUGUGGUACAUAAUUAAAAUAGUGCAACAAUAACAAAUUCAAACAUAAAAGUUUGAAAGUAAAUAAUAAUGAAAUAAAUUUUUUAGUUAUUUUAACUACUAAUUUAAUAAAAAAAUUUAAAACAUACAAUUCUUCUGUAUAUUUUAUAAUUUUAUAAUUUUAAUUUUUUUAAUAUAAACGUAGUUUUGAUAUUUUUAAUUAUUAUUUAAAAUUUUUUAUUUUAAAUAUAUUCUUAAUUAUUUAUUUUACACAUACAUACAUUUUAACUUAAUGUUCUUAAUAGUAAUUUUCUAUUUUUAUUCCAUUGCUACAUUUGCAUUUGAAUUUAAAUACAUAUUUCACAAUUAACAUUAAUCUCACCGCUACAAUAUUCAAACUCACUAAAUUACUUAUUUAACACUAUUAUAAAAAUAUAUAUAAAUAUUACUAAAUUAUCAAUUUUUAAUAUUAAAAGAACAAUGAAAUAGGGUCAGCGUGAAGAAAACUUAAAAAAAAAUUUGUACCCUAACCAAAUUAUAGACAAGUCUAUUGAUUAAUUUUUAAAAAAUAAUAUUUUAGCUUAUAUAAGAGUUAAAAUAUUUGGAAAGUUUAAAAUUAGUCUCUCUAUUAUUAAAUGGACCAAUUUUAUCACAGUACUAUUAAAAAGAACUAAAUAAGGUUAAAUUGUAACAGAUUUAACAUUAAUAGAAUUAACAAAUUUCAAUAUAUUUUUUAUAAAAUAAAUGUUGACUUUGUUAUAAUUUAACUUUAUUUGUAUGCAGUCCCUAUAGUACCGGUACUUUAACCCUUAUAUAUAUGUUUGAAGUUUAUUUUAGGAUGAAAUUGGAAAAUUGAAAAAAGUAAGAGUUCAAAAAGUAAAAACAAACGAAAUUAGCACAUUAACUUACAAAAUAUAUUUUUUAUAAAAUAAAUGUGUUUGGAACAUUAAAAAUGUGUUUUUUUUCCUGAGUUGGUACAUAUUAUUUCAAUUUUGAUGAGAAUUGUACUCUCACUUAACGCUUCAUGUCAUUCGCUUUUUCUUUUCUUUCCCUUUUUUUUUUUUUGUGUGAGAUCUUUUGAUCUGUUCUCAAAUAGAGCUUUUCAUGGUGGCUAAGUUUCUUACGGGAUAAAUUAUGAGUAGCAUUAUUUGUUUCUGCAUUGAAAUUGUGAUGUCUGUAUUUUAAUCUGUGAGGUAUUUCCGUUUGUGAUGAUGUAUUUGAUGAUAUAGUGGAAUUUUGGUAGAUUAAAGUGCUCGUUUGCUGUACUAAGUUGAAAUUGAAUGAAUGCUGGCCUCAUCCAAUGUCCAAAACUUGAUGACUUCAACAUUUUGAUGCCUUAAUUUGAGAAGACUAAGUUAGAGUACUAUAAAACUUUCUAAGAAUGCUGAUGAGGCAUAGAUCUAGUGAUAUAAUAUAAUUGCAAUUGAUAGUAUGGAGAAACCUAAGUUUUAGUACCAUCAAAUAAAAUUGCUAUUGCUAGUAUGUUUGUUUUAUGUAAUAUAAAGCCAUAGUAAGAGAGGAAGGCUAUGUUAUGCUAUUCCAUUCUCGGUUUAAAGCUGAACAUUUAAUGCCGUGCUCUAUAUGAAGAAAGGUUGAUGGGUGUUAGUUCUUUUGAUGUUUUGUCUUUGAUGGAUGUUUGAAAAAUGAUUCAGUUGAUAUUCAUAAUGUCUAUCCCUACAGUUUCCCCCUUAUGUAUAAUGACUGCUAGUUUGUCGGUCUUCGUAUAUUAUAUUCCUUUUGUGUGAAAUUCCAAACUGCGUAAACAUCUUAAUUGUGUUCUUUAUUUUCCUUGUUGCAUAAUAUGUACCAACUCAGGAAAACACACAUUUUUAAUGUUCCAAACAUCAAUGCUUGAGCUAAGGAAAUCAAAGUCUCCUAGGAGGAUUCUAGCCCAUCAAUUCCCUCUAUAUAUCAACAAUGAACCUGCAAACUGUAAAUAUCAAUAUACAGUAUGAUAAAAUUGAUCUCGUAUAGACCGAGCAGUGUCCAAAUGUAGAAGAAGCACUUACUGUUACUAAAAACAUAACUCCAUAUUUUGUGCACAAAUGGUGGCCAAACACAUAUCCGUUGUCUAUGCUUUUUGAUUCCAAGUUUAAGAAAGGGCCAAACAUUGGGCGUCCUCAUCCUCAUCUGUAAUAGUAACAAAUUCACAUUCCCAUUCCAAGUUUAAGGAAAUGCCAUGGUAACAAAUUCACAUAACUGUUGUGUCGUCCUCGUUGGAAUCAUCAUCGAUUGGCUUUGUCGUCCUCCACCAACUCUUCAUAUUUGGGCAAUCCCGUAGGCAAAGAUGCUUAAGUGAUGGGAAGAAUGAUUGUGGUUCUCCUUGACUUCCUUUUGGGCUAUUAUCAUCCAUGUACUCCAGCUUAGUACAAUCAUAUAUCUCCAGCCCUUUAAGACAAGGAAAUUGCGCAAAGGACGGGAUUUGUUUGAAAUUACUACCACUUAUGUCAAUUGUGACGAGAUUUUUGAGCAAAGGAAGCCAACUUGGAAACUUGCCAUCACCCCUCCAUCCUGCAAUACAGAGCUCCUUGAGAUUAGGAUGGGGCUGGAGGUCUUCAAGUGACUUCUCAUCGUCAUCAUCAAAACGAAGGCUCCAUUCUAAAAGCAACGAUCUCAAAUGUUGCUUCUCUUUCAAAUUAGCAGCCUUAAACUUCUCUUUUGCAUUUUUUACGAAUCCCAAAUUUGUUAUUUGUAGACGUCCCCUUAAGUUGUUAAGCAGUCUCAAUUCACUUAGAUCUGCACCGCCAUGGGACCCAUCUUUAUCCACUACAAACAUGCUUAACGUCUCAAGUGAAGUCAGCUUCCCUAUUCCACGUGGCAUAUGAGUUAAACUAAAACACUACGACACCCAAUAUGGGUAAGAUUCACCAAUUCUUCAAUCUUCUUUGGCAAUUCUUUAAGCCCAAAACAGCAGUCAAGUUUCAGCGCUAGCAAAUUCUGAAUCUUGCAAGUACUCUUUGGGAGAAUCUUAAUAUUGUAAUUGGAAGAAAGGUCAAGGUACCUCAAAUGUUUCAACUUACAAAUGGAGGGUGAAAUCUUUUGAAUACCUAUAGAAUAUAAUUUCAAUACACGCAAGCAUCUACAAUUUGCAAUUAUCAAAUCCCAACUUUCUUCACUAAAAUCUUGAUAUAUGCUGUUUGGAAAGUGUAACAAGGUUCGCAACUUCUUUCCCUUAAACAAAGGAAUUAAUGAAGGAAUUAAUAAAGGAUUAAUUGAUAUGUGGCGACAUUUUUCACCAACAUCACCUGCAAUUUUAUUUGAAUCUACAAUACUACUCUCCAUCCCUGCUACUGAUUCAGCUAGAUCUUGCAUUAAAUCAUGCAUUUUACAUCUCAUAUCCCCAAUUCCAUAUUCUUCUACCUCUUGAAAGAAACUCCUGUCAACUAAAUCUUUAAAAUACCCAAACCCGAUCUCCUCCAGAGAUUGACUUUGAUUCAAUUGCUUUAUGAAACCCUGUGCAAUCCAAAAUUGAACAAGCGCUUGCACUUGAAUUGUGUAAUCUGUUGGAUACAGUCGGCAAUAAGCAAAGCAAUGCUUCAAAUGAGACGGGAGAUGAUCAUAACUCAAUUUCAGUAUAGGUAGAAUUUCUCCUUCAAUUUGUGAAAUUUUAGCAAGUUCAUUUUCUUUGAAAGAAUGCCACUCAUUUGCAGUUUUCUUCUAAGAUAAUGUACCAGCUAUCGUCCUUAUGGCUAAGAGAACCCCACCACACCUUUCCGAAAUCUGUCUCCCUACUUCCACAAAGGCUGAAUUUGUUGAGUCUGCAUAUCCUUGCUCAAAUGCUAUCUUUUUGAACAAAGACCAAGCAUCAUCAUCAGACAAGCCUUUCAAUUUCAAAACAUGGGAUUGACAUUUAUUAGUUAUCUCCGCUACCCUUAGAGAUCGAGUAGUUACUAUUAUCCUACUCCCUUUAGCCCCACCCAUCAAUAACUUCUUUAGCCUAGAUGUUGAAGUCAGCUCCCAUAUAGCAGCAAAGGUGGCCAUGCAAGGAACGUGCUUCAGCAGCAAAUUGAUGCAGCAAGCUGAAGCUAUUCAUUUGGUUUCCUUAAUUGAAUGUUUUGUAUUUAGUUAGGAUCAAACUUAGUUGGUAGCUGCAUUUUGAUGUAAUUAGGUGCUGAAUGACAAGCUUAGGUAGAAGCUUUUUUGUUUUUCAAUCAAGUUUACCAAGUUACUAGGCAUUUUAGUGGUGUUAGGUAUGUUAGUAGGUGAUUACUUGUUUGUUUUACUUAUUGACUGAUAUAUGUAAUGGCUUAAUGCCUUGUUCAUGUGUUAAUGAAAAAUAUCAGCUCAUUUUCAUUCAAUCUCUUUCUCUCUUUUCUGUUUUCACUUGCUAGCUUCAUCUUUCUAUUUUUUCUGCUUCCGAGUUUGCUUCUUCACCAAGCCUCGAGCCUUACUACUCAAGCAAGACUAGAAACAGCUUGCUGCUGCCUCUUGCACCAACAAUUGGUAUCGAGAGCUCUUGUCUUAGUGGACCUGUUGCUUCAAAACAAAGAACUUGAUGGCUUCUUCAGGAUUUUCACCAGCAGCCCCACCAGUCUUCAAUGGAGAAGGCUUUCACAUAUGGCUGGUCAAGAUGAAGACUUACCUACAGGCUUUUGAUCUGUGGGAAGUUGUCAACACAGAUACUGAGCCAGCACCACUGAGGGCUAAUCCCACAGUAGCUCAGAUUAGGCAACAUGCUGAUGAGAGGACCAAAAGGCACAAAGCCAUGUCCUGCAUCCAGAACUGUGUGUCAGAUGUCAUCUUCACCAGAAUCAUGGCCUGUGAGACUCCAAAACAGGCCUGGGAUAAGCUUAAGGAGGAGUUUCAAGGCACUGAGAGAACAAGGCAACAGCAGCUGCUAAACUUGAGAAGGGAUUUCGAGAAUUUGAAGAUGAAGGAAGAAGAAACAGUGAAGCAGUACUCAGAUAGAAUUAUGGCAGUGGUUAACAGCAUAAGGCUCCUAGGUGAGCACUUUGAUGAGGCAAGAAUUGUGGAGAAAGUCCUCUCCACUUUGCCUGAGAGAUAUGAGGCCAAGAUAUCCUCUCUAGAGGACUCAAGAGAUCUUGCUAGCAUCUCUUUGACUGAGCUAAUCAACACCUUUUAUGCUCAGGAACAAAGAAGAGCUAGCAGAGCUGAAGAUCACCAAGAAGGUGCAUUUCAAGCCAAGGCCAGAGAAACCUCGAGCACUAAUGCUCAAAGAGGCAAAAGGCCUUGGAAAAACAGGCCUAAGCCUGAUGCUGCAAGGAGCAAUGACCAGCCCUGCAAAUAUUGCAAGAAGCCUGGCCAUCCAGAAGACAGAUGCUGGUUUAGGCCAGAUGCAGUAUGCCAACACUGCAAGAAGAAGGGCCAUGUUGAAAGGGUCUGCAAAAACAGAAGUAAGCCAAGGCAGAAUCAAUUUCAGCAGUCAAAGGUUGAAGCUCGAGUAGCUGAGGACAGUAGUGACCAAGAAGAACAGGUCUUUGCUGUUUCCUGUGUAGCUUCUGAGAAGAAAUGCUCUAAAGGCUGGCUGCUGGACAGUGGUUGCACUAACCACAUGUCACCAGAUGCCUCCUUGUUUAAAACCUUGGACAGAAGUUAUAAAACCAAGGUCAAGGUUGGACAUGGUCAGUUUAUAAGGGCUGAAGGAAGAGGAGAAGUGCUGAUAUCUACUCCCACAGGCAACAAGAUCAUUCCAAAUGUGCUGUUGGUACCACAGAUUGACAGAAACCUUCUCAGCAUAGCUCAACUGCUCGAGAAAGGUUAUUCUGUUGUGUUCAAGGAUAAACAAUGCCAUAUUACUGAUCCAAGUGGAUCAAGCCUUAUGACAGUCACAAUGACUGAUAAAUGCUUUGAGGUUCACUGGGCAAAUGACUCAAACUCAGCAUACACAGCCUCUGUUGAAGACUCCAAGCUUUGGCAUCAAAGGCUUGGACAUGCCAACUUCAGAUCAAUGGCUCGAUUGGCCAAAGAGGGCAUGGCAGAGAACUUCACCAGCUCAGUGGAGCAUGAUGAUGUGUGUGAAGUCUGCCAAAUGGGGAAACAGGCAAGACUGCCAUUUCCUACAAAUUCAGCUUGGAGAGCUACUGAAAGACUACAGCUGGUGCACUCUGAUGUAUGUGGCCCGAUGAGGACUGAAUCACUCAGCAAAAACAGGUAUCUCAUCCUCUUUAUUGAUGAUCUUACAAGGUUUUGCUGGAUUUUCUUUUUAAAACACAAGUCUGAGGUAGCUCAAGUGUUUGUGAAGUUUAAAAAUGCUGUAGAAACAGAAACAGGUUGCAAGCUGAAAUCGAUAAGGACAGACAAUGGCACUGAGUACACUUCAGCUCAGUUUCAAGCCAUUUGCAAUGAUGCUGGUAUCAAACAUCAGCUUACAAAUGUCUACACACCUCAGCAGAAUGGGGUAGCUGAAAGAAAGAAUAGAAGUCUGAUGGAUAUGGCCAGAUGUCUGCUGUUUGAGAAGAAACUGCCCAAGACCAUGUGGGCUGAGGCAGUAAACACUGCUGUUUACCUUCAGAACAGGCUUCCCACUAAAGCUCUUGCAUCCGAGACACCUUUUGAGGCUUGGUUUGGUUUCAAGCCUUCCUUGGCACACCUGAAGGUGUUUGGUUGCCUGUGUUAUGCACAAAUACCAGCAGCAAAGAGAGACAAGCUCUCUAAAAGGGCUCAACCAGGUGUUCUAGUAGGCUACAGCUCAGUCAAAAAGGGCUACAGGGUUCUGGAUCCCUUGACAAACAAAGUCCAAGUGAGCAGAGAUGUCAUCUUUGAUGAAAAAGCCUGCUGGAAUUGGGAGAAAAAUGAGCCAGAAGCAAUUUCAGAAGACCUAGUGACUAAUCAAGCUGAACUUGAGCAGCUAGAACCUGAAAUGGAUGUUGAUGAUGUGCCUGUGAGAGGCACAAGGCCCCUAGAAGAUAUUUAUGAAAGGGCACAGGUUGCAUUAGCAGAACCUAGCAGUUUUGAAGAGGCUGAGGCAGAUGAAGGUUGGAAACAAGCUAUGGUUGAUGAAAUCAACAUGAUUGUAAAGAAUCAGACAUGGGAGUUGGUUGAAAAGCCUGCCAACAGAAAGACUAUCAGUGUAAAAUGGGUCUAUCGAGUGAAGCACAAUGCAGAUGGAAGCUUAAACAAGCUAAAGGCCAGGCUAGUUGUAAAGGGCUUCAGUCAAAGGUAUGGUCUGGACUACAUGGAAACAUUUGCUCCAGUAGCCAGACUCGAUACAAUCAGAUUGCUGAUUGCAGUUGCUGCUCAGAACCAGUGGACAAUCCACCAAAUGGAUGUCAAGUCUGCAUUCCUCAAUGGAUUUCUAGAAGAAGAGAUAUACAUCGAGCAACCCCCAGGUUUUAUAAUGCCUGGUAAGGAACAAUUGGUGUAUAGGCUAAGAAAGGCCUUGUAUGGCCUAAAACAGGCCCCUCGAGCCUGGUAUGCUCGAAUUGACUCAUAUUUGGUCAGUUUGGGAUUUGAAAGGAGUGCUAGUGAGCCAACACUCUAUGUUAAGAAGAAUGGAGCUGAAACACAGCUUAUUGUGUCACUAUAUGUUGAUGAUCUUCUCGUGACUGGAGGAGACAAGCUUAUGAUGGUUGAUUUCAAAGCAAGAAUGAAGAAAAUGUUUGAGAUGUCAGACCUGGGAUUGAUGACAUAUUUCCUAGGAAUGGAAGUCAAUCAAAUAGAAGGAGGAAUCUUCUUGAAACAAAAGACAUUUGCCUUGAAAGUGCUGGCUAAAUUCUCAAUGGAGAAUUGUAAACCAGUGAGCACACCAAUGGCUAUUGGCAUAAAGCUAUCGAGCCAGGAGGAACAUGAAUCUGUCUGUGAAACAGAUUACAGAAGCCUUGUUGGGUGUUUAUUGUAUUUGACAGCAACAAGACCCGACAUUUUGUUUGCUGUAAGCAUGCUAUCAAGGUUCAUGCACUGCUGUAACCAGCAACAUUACAAGGCUGGGAAAAGGGUGCUAAGAUACAUUAAAGGUACCUUAAACCAUGGAAUACAGUUUAGAAAGGCUGAAGAGUUGAAACUGAUUGGCUACACUGAUAGCGAUUGGGCUGGUUCAAAGGAUGACAUGAAGAGCACUUCUGGCUAUGCUUUUACACUUGGCUCAGCUAUGAUUUGUUGGAGCUCAAGAAAACAAACAAUGGUGGCUCAAUCGACAGCAGAAGCAGAGUAUGUAGCAGCUGCCAAUGCUGUUAAUCAAGCCAUGUGGCUGAGAAAAAUUUUGAGUGACUUGAAUCUACAGCAGAAUGAAGCAACUGUGAUACAUUGUGACAACAAGUCAGCAGUUGCUAUUGCUAAAAAUCCUGUCUUUCAUGGCAGGACAAAACAUUUCAACAUCAAACUCCAUGUGAUAAGAGAAAUGGAACAAGCUCGAGAAAUUGAGCUAAUCCAUUGCAGUUCUGAAAAUCAGAUUGCCGAUAUCUUCACAAAGCCUAUUGGUGUAUCAAGAUAUCUAAGCCUGAAGAGGAAGCUAGGAGUCUGCUGCAUAGAAGCUGAGGAGGAGUGUUGAAGUCAGCUCCCAUAUAGCAGCAAAGGUGGCCAUGCAAGGAACGUGCUUCAGCAGCAAAUUGAUGCAGCAAGCUGAAGCUAUUCAUUUGGUUUCCUUAAUUGAAUGUUUUGUAUUUAGUUAGGAUCAAACUUAGUUGGUAGCUGCAUUUUGAUGUAAUUAGGUGCUGAAUGACAAGCUUAGGUAGAAGCUUUUUUGUUUUUCAAUCAAGUUUACCAAGUUACUAGGCAUUUUAGUGGUGUUAGGUAUGUUAGUAGGUGAUUACUUGUUUGUUUUACUUAUUGACUGAUAUAUGUAAUGGCUUAAUGCCUUGUUCAUGUGUUAAUGAAAAAUAUCAGCUCAUUUUCAUUCAAUCUCUUUCUCUCUUUUCUGUUUUCACUUGCUAGCUUCAUCUUUCUGUUUUUUCUGCUUCCGAGUUUGCUUCUUCACCAAGCCUCGAGCCUUACUACUCAAGCAAGACUAGAAACAGCUUGCUGCUGCCUCUUGCACCAACACUAGACCACCUUUCUGGGUCCUCAUUCCAAAUGUCAUCCAAAACAAGCAAAUAUUUUUUCCCAUCAAUUUUAUCUCGAAGUUGUUUUUGCAGUUGAUCCAUUUCAAGAUUUUGAUCAGGUGCUUGAUGAGUCACAGAUUUGAUAAUGUUUGCUACAAUAACUUUCACAUCAAAAUCAUCUGAAACACACGCAAACAUCGUUAAGUCAAUUGAAGCUAAUCUCGCCAUAAUGGCCUUCAUUUUCCGACCCAUUUUGAGACCAUAAGCAAAUUGGUUUGAGCUCGAGAAGAAAAGGCGUACCUCUUUCGUCAGCUUGUUCCCACCCAUUAGAUCUUUCCGCAAAGCUUCGGUAGAGAAAUCAUCGAGCAAGUCGUCAGCAUCGUAAAGUACAUCUUUCAGCUUUUCAAGCCAAUCUUUGACGAGAUGGCUGGUCACGGAUCGCUCUUCUGCGUCAAGAAGCACAGCUUUGAUUGUAGAGACGGUGCUUUUGAGGUCGUCAAGGUCAUGUUUUAGAUUCCACCACAGCCCAACUUGAGAGAGAGCACGAGAGCUCAACUUAAUAAUGAGCUCUGCGGCAAUGUCGAAAGCAAUUGCUUCGGCCAUUGUUGGUUCGAACUGAAAUCAAGGCAAAAAGUGUUUGAUUCGUGAGAGAGGACUAAAAUGAGAAUGAUCCCAGCAAGAUGAAACACAGAUGUGGAUCCAUCCACCCAGCAAGUAGUAUAAUUAAAUAAAAAGUAAUGUUGAUUGGUGGGAAAUGGUCCGUCCAUGUUUACUGUUUGACACAAAUUUCUGAAUGGAGACAAAGUUGAGAUGAUGGCACUAGGGGUGCUCUGCACAACGUACAAAUAAUUGAAAUUAAUGAAAAAGGUAUGAAAGAAAAGAGAAAAAGGAGACAAGUCCCAUGGAAUCCAAGGUGUUUUGAUUGAAGUCUUUCUAAACCUUCUUCCCACUUACUUUGUGUAAUUGAGUGAGUCUCAAUACUCGGUUAAAUUCAAUAUUUUAUUUUUGAGUUUAACUUUGGUUGAAUAUAUAAAAUAAAAAUUCAAUAAAACUCAUUCGCCAUUAGAAUCAAAUAUUAUUAAAUUCGAAUCCGAUUAAAUCAAUAAUUUAAACAUAACUUAAUGACUACUAAAUCAAAUUUAAAUCUUUUUUUAAUCGAAUUUAAUUAACUUACAAAUGAUUAUCAUGUCCACCUUUCUCACCCACCUACUUAGCUUUGAUUUUGUCUUUUAAAGUAACUUGGUGUCUAUAAUUAUAUAUUACGACAAUAGUUACUGUUAUAAUUGUUUGUCUAUGCAAUAUAUCAAAGUAAAAUAUAAGAGUUUAACAUUUGUUAACCCUGUUAUAAAAAUUUAAUUUAACUCUUUAAAAAUUAUAAAGAUAUAUUACUAUAAAAAUAUAUAAUUUAAUUCCAACUAAAAUUUUUUUUAGCUUGGCUACUAUUGAAAAAUUAAUUUAGUUUUUGAACACAACAUGUGGAAAGAUAUUGGGUUUAUGUCAGCUCCAUGGGAAUGUAUUUAAUUGGUAUUGAAGGAAAAAUCAUUACUUAUACCAUCAUGAAGAUUGCUUCCACUGCUCAUAUCUAUUUUAUUAUUUUAUUACACAUAAAAUUGUUUUAUUGUGAGUUGGAUGAUUUUGGUUUUUUUUUAAGAUAUUUUAUUUUUAAAUAUAUUUUUAAAUAUUUAUUUUACAUAUACAUGUAUUUUAACUUAAUACAUUUAAUAGUAUUUUUUUAUAAUAAAAAAACCCAAAGGUCGCUACCUCAUUUUAAGUUGCAUCAUAAAUUACAAUGUUAUGAUUAUCGAUCACUAAGAUAAUUCAUCUCAAAAGACAAAUUACUACACUUAGAAAGAGCCCAAUUACAAAGAGAAUCAGCUAAUUUGUUAUAACCACGUUUCACCCAUUUAACCUCGAAAGAAACAAAAGAAUCAAGCAUCUUGUGAGCUCCUUAAUGCAGUGAUCAAGGAUCGUUAUGUCCUCUUUGUGAAAACUAAAGCGGUUGACAAUGCUAGCACAAUCUGUUUCAAAAAUGACAUUAUGUUUAAAGUGUUUAUUAAUUAUUUUGAAAAAUGAAAGUAUAAUAACUUUUUUGGCAUUCCAACUUUAUAAAAGAAUUAUUUUAGCUCUCUAUUUACUUUCAUUUUCUUUUAGUCUUUAAACUUAUAUUUUUUUUUGUCAAACCAUCCAAAAUGGGUGAAAAAGUUAACAUUUGUUAACUUUGUUGACAUGACAUAUAGGUAGAUUACCACGUGUAUGUCACGUUAACAAUUAAUUAUUUUAAAAAAAUAUUUAAAAAUAUUUUUUUGAAUUUUUUUAAAAAAUAAUUAAUUGCUUAUGUGGCAUAUACGUGGCAAUCCGCGUGUAUGUUACAUUAGCAAAAUCAACAUACGUUAAUUUUUCACUCAUUUUGAGGUGAUUUGACAAAAAUUACAAGUUUAAGAACUAAAAGAAACGAAAAGUUAAAUGGAGAGUUGAAAUAACUUUUUCUAUAAAGUUAGAGACCAAAAGAAUCAUUAUUGCAAAAAAAAUAGUUGUUUUUCUUCUCCUUUUUUUUGUAUUUUUAGUGCUAAAAUUCAAGAUGGUGCGGAAUAGUUUUUAAUCUUAUUAUUGUUAUAUAUGUUUUCGACCUCAUUGGAGCUAAUCUCACUGUCUAUAUAAAGAGAGCCUAAAUAUAAUUUGUUCAGCUUCUUUUAAACAAGUUAGUGCUCCUUUGUAUGAUCAUUUACCUCCCAUGAGUAAGGUUGAGUAAAUAAAAUAAAAAAAUACUUGAAAAUUGAUCCAAAUCAAGGUGUUUAGACGGUUUAUGGAAUACAAAUUAAAAAAUCACAAUUAUUCGAAACCGAACCAAAUUCUAUUCUUUAUUUUAAUUUAUAAAUAAAUUUAUUUUUAUAAUAUAAAAAUAAAUAUUUUAUAUUUAAAAAUAGUGAAAAUAAAUAAAUAUAUUUUAAAAAUAUUAUAUAAAAGUAUUUAAUUAUUUUUAUCUACUUAAAAUAAUUUUAAAAAAUAUCUAUGAAAAAAACUUUGAAAAUUUGUCAAAUGAUAUUUAAAAGCCGUAAAAUAAAGUUUAUUUUAUUAAAAUAAUUAUAAAAAUUUAUAAUAACAAAAUCGAACUAAACUAAAUUAUAAUGGACGGAUAAAAAAAUAGAAUUGAAUUAAACUAAUAUCACUUGAUUUUAUUGCACCAAACUGGACAUAAAGGAUCUUCUUAAAAAAUUUAACCUGCAAUGAGAUUGUUUUCCUCACUAUAACCUUCUAGAGGUGUUAUAUAAGUACAUAUCAUAUGAUAAUUAUAAAUUUAAUUAUUUAAUUCUUAUAAAAAUUAAAUAUAUUACAAAUUAAUAUUUAUAUAAUGAUAUAUUAAAUACAUGUAAAUUUAUUAUCAUAAAUAUAUUUUUAAUUAUUAUUUGAUAUAAAUAAUUUUAUUAUAUUUUAUUAUUUUCAUUUAUAUAAAAUAUAGUCCUUGAAUGUUGAAGUCUAAACCCAACCCUUAAACAAAGGAAUUAAAUUUAAAGUUGAGAAAGAUAUGGAUGGUAGUAAUGGGAGCAUAAGCAUGUAGAAGCAAUGCUGGCAUUUCAUCUUAUUAGCAGCUUUGGAAUAGAUUCUUAAGGAUGAGUAGGAAUCUGUAUGCUUUUUUUUUAAUUUUUAUAUUUAAAACAUUAGUUAAUUGCUAAUGUGGCAUCCAUGUGUAUGCCAUGUAAGUUUAAGGACUAAAUUGAUUUUUUCAUAAAGUUAGAAGGUUAAAUAAAUCAUUUGCCAAAAUAUAAUAGAGAACUUAAAAAAAUGAAAAUAUUUAUAUUUUAUUUUAUAUUUGUUUAAGUUUGGCCUGGUCCAAAAUAUAUACUUAAAGUUUGUUCAAAUUUGUAAACCGUUAACUCAAACUCAUUUUAAAUCCACUCAUACUAUUUUUAAAAAAAAAUUAAAUGAAUUUAUAUUAUUUUUAACUUAAUAUUUAAUAAUUUUACAUUUUUAUUAAAAAUUUAUAUAUAGUCAUCUUAAGAUUAUAAUAGUAUUAUAAUUUUUAUUUUUAUUUGUUACAAAUUACAUAACAUAUAAAAUUAACAUAAUAUAAAAUAUUGCUAACUUAAAAAUUGGGUCGGGCCCAACUUAGGCUUUGAAUAUUCAAAUUCAAGCUCGACUCAUAUUUUAAAUGGGCCUAUUUUUUAAAUUUAAUAGUUUUAUCCAAAUCUUCCAAAAUUUCAAAUGAGCCUUUGAGCUUGACAAAGAACAGUAAGUCUCUUUCCCUUUUCUUUCCCUAUUAUUUUGGCUAAACAAUACAGUAAGAUCAGCUGAUGAAGAAUGCAUACAGAUCGACUCUUCAACAAAGAAAAAGAAAGAACAAAUGUGCAUAGAGAGGAGGAUUUCAUGGGAGCACAAUUCCAUGGACAGAUCAGCUGAUGAAGAAUGCAUGUCCUGCUUUUUGGCUCUUCCAUUGAACUCAUGCUGAAAAAGAAGUUGCUUAGUUACGAGGUUACAUUAGAUCAUUUGAAAUUAUGAGAUUAUUAUGAUUUUAAAAAUGUAAAGCAAUUAAGUAAUUACCACCUAUUUGCCUGCAUCUAAAUUCUUAAACAAAUGAGGGUAGAAAGUACGAUCUCUGCUUUUUGUAUUGCAUGCUAUGCUCUGCCGAAGAAUAGAGCCACAAGCUAACAAAAAUGAAGGGUAAAAAGAUUAAUGGAAACCUUGUAGUUUUCAAAGGUGAAUAAAUAAGGACAAUUAAGAUCGGUGUUAACAGUUUUUACUAAUAUUUUGAAAACAUUUGAAAACAUUUUAAAUAAGUUAAUAUAUAUAAUAUAAAAAAUCUAUAAAAAAUUUCAAAAUUCAAUUAUUGUAAUAUAAAACUUUCAUAUCUAAAAACCCUAAAUUAAAUUAAACUAUUUCAAUUGAAUCCAACAAACAAAUUAGACCGAAAACCAAUUAAUAUGAUUGGUUCGGCCACCUAUCUAGUUUUAAAAACCUUAACCAGCACAACAUCAGUAUGUGAAUUUAAUUUCGUAUUUAUUUAAUUUGGUUAGCACAUAUUAAUAGUUUUCAUAUUCUCUUUAGUUUUUGUAUAUUGGGAUUGUGUAAAUUUUAAAAUUUUAGAUAUUUUUAUGUCCAUAUUUUGUUUUAUAAAUAUAUAGGGGUAAGCUCUCACUAAUUUUCUCAAGCUUUUAGGAGUUCCUUCUAUUGAAGCAAUAUCAUGAGCGAAUCUAUAAUCAAUAUAUAUGAGAAAGAAAAAAAAUAUAAAAAAGUAAAAUAAAAAAUGAAAAUAGAUUUGGACACUUAUGGAUGUUAUCAAACUAUUGUCUAACUCGUGUUAUGAAAAAAAAAUCACAAUUAAAAGAAUAUUGUAUGCUUCAAUGAAAGUCACAAUUUAUCUUUGAUCAUGCUUGUUUGCAACUAAGUAGCUAUAAUGUAACUACAUGUUCCUACAAACCUCGCACUAGUCGACUUUGCCCUAUGAUCCAUUAGUCGAAUUUGUGAUGUCUAUAUUUUAAUAUGCGAGGUAUUUAAAGAAAUAGAUACAUCAAUUUAUUUUUGUAGUGGAUAAAUAUAAUUAUUUAUUUACACAAUAUAUAAACAUAAAAUGAUGCCCUAUUAAUAAUUUAUGAAAAUUAGAUCAAAUUAAAAUUUCAUGUAUAAAAUUAUAUGUUAUGCCAAAGUUUAUAUGUAGUUUUGAGAUUUAUCCCAUUUUCCUAUUAACUUAGCCAUUAGCCUGAGCAUUAAAUGUUCGCUCAAAUAUGAUAGGGGACAUACUUAAAACACAUGUGUCCAUGCUAUAUAGGCAACUUUAAUCUAAUUUGUUAAAAGAAGAAGAAGAAGUAAUCCUCUUAAAUUUUAUAAUCUCAGCGUGUUUUUAAUAUGUUAGAAUCAAGUUAUCAAUAUGAUGAGUACACAAGUAUUUACAAUUUAAUCCAUGUCAAAUGAGAACAGAAAUUUAAAAUCUAAAUUGAUAGCUACGAAAAUGAAAUGAUUUUAUUGUUAUAAUAUUAAUACUUUCAAAACUUAAUUAAAAUAUUUUAUAAUUUAUAAAUUAAUUUUAAAAAAAUUAAUUAAUAAAUUGAGAAUAUUUAAUACAAAUAACUUCUUAUAUGAAUAUAAAUAAUUAUAACACAUUUAUUAUUAAAUGAAAAUAAUGUUGUUUGGUUGGAAAUGGUCCCACCAUAUUUUACGUUUGGGGAACAAAGCGACGGUGUUUUGGUUGGAGAAGAAGGAAGUAACGUCGUUAAGUACAUCGUUUUGUUUAUCUUUAUUUUAAAUUUGUUUUCUCGUUUUCUAUUUGACGCCGCUAAUAUUCUUUUUUGAGUAAACUAUAUUAAAAGUCAUUCAACUAGUUAAAAAGUUACAAAAUGAUCACCAAAUUAUUAAUAAUUUCUUUUACCUAAUUAUGAAAAGUUAUAAAAUAAUAAAUUUUUAUUAUUAUUUAGCGCAUACGAGUAUUUGUUAUUUUUUUCUUUGAAUUUUUCAUUUAUUCAUUAAAUGAAUUAAUAAAUUUCUCUUUAAAAAAUUUACUCGGGGCAGAACAUAACAAGAGUCAAAGCUUCAGCUUGUAAUAUUGGCUUGUGCCAUGAUAGGCCUUUAUAAGGUGUUGUUCAACUUAUAAUUUGAUGUGUGCCAACAUAAGCAUCAACACACAAGUCAUGUAUAUACAGCCAAGACAUCGACAUCUUUUGGAAGAGUCCUAGUCCAAGCAUCAUAAUUGAACAUAGCCUUGGAAUACCGUCAAAAACAAUUAUUGUCUCAUAAUCAAUUGUGCAUCCCUGCAUUUGAAUACUAUUUGGAANNNNNNNNNNNNNNNNNNNNNNNNNNNNNNNNNNNNNNNNNNNNNNNNNNNNNNNNNNNNNNNNNNNNNNNNNNNNNNNNNNNNNNNNNNNNNNNNNNNNNNNNNNNNNNNNNNNNNNNNNNNNNNNNNNNNNNNNNNNNNNNNNNNNNNNNNNNNNNNNNNNNNNNNNNNNNNNNNNNNNNNNNNNNNNNNNNNNNNNNNNNNNNNNNNNNNNNNNNNNNNNNNNNNNNNNNNNNNNNNNNNNNNNNNNNNNNNNNNNNNNNNNNNNNNNNNNNNNNNNNNNNNNNNNNNNNNNNNNNNNNNNNNNNNNNNNNNNNNNNNNNNNNNNNNNNNNNNNNNNNNNNNNNNNNNNNNNNNNNNNNNNNNNNNNNNNNNNNNNNNNNNNNNNNNNNNNNNNNNNNNNNNNNNNNNNNNNNNNNNNNNNNNNNNNNNNNNNNNNNNNNNNNNNNNNNNNNNNNNNNNNNNNNNNNNNNNNNNNNNNNNNNNNNNNNNNNNNNNNNGCAGGCCCAUAUUUCUAAUUUUUUAUUUUUUAACUUUUUUGUACUAUUUUGAUAAAUAAAAAAAGUAAACUAUUUUGAUAUUUUUUUAAUUUUUUUGUAUUAUUUUAGUAAAAAUCCCGUGUUAUUCAGCUUGUAAUUUGAUUGUGCCAACAUAAGCAUCAACACACAAGUCAUGUAUAUACAGCCAGGACAUCGACAUCUUUUGGAAGAGUCCUAAUCCAAGCAUCAUAAUUGAACAUAGCCUUGGAAUACAGUCAAAAACAAUUAUUGUCUCAUAAUCGAUUGUGCAUCCCUGCAUUUGAACACUGUUUGGAACAUUAAAAUUGCGUUUUUUCCUGAGUUGGUACAUAUUAUGCAACAAGGAAAAUAAAGAACACAAUUAAGAUGUUUACGCAGUUUGAAACUCAUCCUACGUCUGCGGGGCUUUGCCCAAAUAUGACUCCACUAUGAACUUCAUAGUACAGAGAAAUGAUUCAAGCUUAACCUCUCAAACACUUGAUGCAAUCUCACUUUUGCACAAUUAAGUAAAUUAUUUCUCAACUCAUUUUAGCUAUGCAAGUGAAAAUUCACAUUCAACACUCAGAUGGUUUUCUUACUAUGAAUCAAGCACUUAAUAAGCUCCAUGUAAAGUGAAAUAAAUCAAGCACUUAAUAAGCUCCAUGUAAAGUGAAAUAAUAAAUUUUCAAAUGCAGUAUGUCUGGCAAUUGUCAUGCUUGAACAACGACUCUUCCAAAAGCAUCAAUGAACCUGAAAAUUAUAAAUGCCAACAUAGAAUAUGUUACAAAUCCCAUUAUUAUCAGCCUUAUAAUUGCACAUAUGUGUGUUUAGUAUAAUGUUGUUGAUAUAUAAAUAAUGAAACAUUUUAUCAACUUCAACCUCACCACCAAAUAUUCUGAAGCAUCUUCCUUUUUUUUCCUGUUUGGACCUUCAAUAGUAAAUUUGGCUGGAAUUCUAAAAAGAUAAAAGAGUGCCCUGCAUCAAUGAAUAUUAUGAAUUUGAAUACCUCCAAAAGCCUGUCAGUAUCACAGGUACCAUCUAAAAUAGUAAUCAGUUGGCAUAUAUUAAGAGAAAACAUAAAUAUAUAUAAAGAUAUGAUGGGUAAGUGCUUAAAUGAAGAAAGCAGAGCAUAUAGUACAACCAUUUUGAAGGCUUCAUAGGCCUCUCUCUCCACAUCAAUGAUUUUUUAGAAUUAAAUUAUUAGAAGCAAUUGUCAAGUUAUUAUUAUGAUUUAAAAGUAAAAAGCAAAUAGAUAAAUUAGCACUCUUUUUAUGCAUAUAAAAUGAUUGAAGUUGACUAAUGCCUUUCUCCAAUGCCUUACUGCACAAAUCAGCAAAAAUAUUAUGAAAGAUGAUAAGUAAAAAGUAGGAUGAAAACAAAGGGAUUUUAACAAGGAAAUUAACAGUAUCCAACUUCAAUGAAAAAUGGCAUCAGACCCCUCACUUGGAGAUUCAAUAUACCACUCAUAUUUUUCUUCAAAAAAAGAUAAGGUCAUCAAAAUAAAUAAAUAACAAGGACGGACCAACCUGAAUCAACUCAAUGUCGGGGAUGUGAGCAAUCUUAUGCCAAUCAGCGCCACUGUCCUUCCGACAUCUUUCCUCCAACUGAGGAAUUCUUUCCAUAAAUAACAUUUGCAAAUUGGUUAGGCAACGCAUCUCGUCUGGAAGAGAUGUUAAAUUGGGCAAAUUAACGAGAAAAAGCCGUUGCAGAUUUGUUAGAUGUUGAAGCCACUCCGGAAGAUGCCGACACUUUGGAAUAUUUUGCAGCUGUAGAAAGCGUAGGCUUGUAUGAUCUUGGAAUAUUUGGAUGCCAGCCCCAGAUAACUCCAGCUCCUUGCAGUCCAUUACUAAAAAGUCUUCAAGGGAAGUGAGAUGUUGGAACACAGGAAGCAGUGACCUCAAUCCAUUGCAGUUAUGAAUUUUUAAUGUUUUCAAUUGAACAAGAUGUUGAAGCCCAAUGGGGAGAGACACCAGCUUUGGAAUAUUAUCAAUCUCCAAAUGAGAGAGAUUCUUAAGGGGUUCCCAUUGCAUGCCCUCUAAAUCAACCUCCUUGCAAUCUUCUAUUGUUAAUCUUUUGAGGCUGGUGAGAUGUUGCAGGCAUUCAUCUAGCGUGUGAGUGUCCAACCCCUCAAUCUUGUGUACAUCGAAAGAUUUCAAUUUGGAGAGUGGAAGAGAAGAGGUUGAAGUUAAUGGGGCCUUAGCAUUGAUGUUCAUCUUGAUAGUCUGCUUUAACGGCCUUGAACUGGUAUUCGACAACAUUAGAUCUUCAUCGAGUGAUGGAUACAGCGGCAUUGAUGUCAAAGGGCAAUUUUCAAUUGUUAA
rnacentral:lncRNA from 1 species